rnacentral:lncRNA from 1 species
AGUCAUAAGCACCCCCCAUACUUAGGCUGAAAGUUGAUCCAUCAGCACUUAAACGGAACCGCUGAAACCUUUAUUGUAAGCAUAUUCAAUAAGGGAAUCCAACUCAUCAUUGGUGCAGUCGAUCAAAUUGUCCUUAUUUUUAUCAGCAACGUCCAUGGCCUCUUCGACUUGCUUGUUUGGCGUGAGUGCACCUAGAUGUUGAAAAGCAUCCUUGAGCUGGUCCCUGGUGAGGCUGCCCUGCUUAGAGUAAGAUCGAAACACUUGUUCCAAUUUGUUUUUCUGAUCCUUGUUAUCCUUUGUGGCUUGCAUUGUGGAUUUUGAGGUUUGUGACCGGGUGAUAAUAGAGAGAAGGCUUGCCUAGUUUGGUUUGGUUUUCUUUUCCAAUGCAAUUUGUUUAUAUAGACCCAAAACUCUGAAUACGAUUCUGUUGAAGUGUUGGGGAAUAAAACAUUUUUUGGUGGUGGGUUUUAAAAAUUGAUUUCCAUCUUUUUUAUCAAUAAAAUAAUAAAUCAAUCAAUAAAUUUUAUAAUGAAUACUGAAAAAAAAAAUAUUCCAAGAGGAUUGGUACGAAUAAAAAUAUCAAUGUUAAUUUCUUCUUUUCUUCUGGCGUCAAAUUAACCACAGAUUGGAAAAUGCUAAAUAGCAGCCUCCACUAUCUUGUGUCCAUUUUCCAUUGUUUCAUUUGUUUUAGCCCUCAAUUUGCAGUUUUUAGGUUUUUCUUUUUUUUUUUUGGUUCCCUGAUUAAAUGAUGCAUUUUGGUCCAUUUGGUUUUAAUGAAUUUUCAGAAUUUGGUAGAUCUCGUGAAAGGAGUUCUAGGAAGUACUUUGAUGAGCGUGCUUGUAAAUUGUGAUAAUUAUUGUGUAUGAAUGUUAAGUUAUCCAAAAAUAAAUAAGUUUAGCAUUAGGACUUUCUUUCUUUUAUUGUUUGCCAUAAAUGAUUCUGGAGCAAAGCAAAAUACUGUUAAACUAAUUAUUUGCGUUGUACCACUUCCUGGAAUCAUGGCCGUAGUGGGUUAAAACUGUAUACAUGUUUCUCUCUCAUAUGUUCUUAAUCUCGGUAGGAUAGAAUUAAGUUUGGGCUAUUUCAAUUCCUUUGCACCUUUUUUCCCUUGUACUGUAAUAUUUUCUCAACCACCCUUUUGCAAGGGGAAAGCUGUAAUAUAUUAUAUAUAUAUAUAUAUAUAUAUAUAUAUUUAAAAUUAGAUAAUUUUGUAAAAAAAUUAUAUUGAUGGAAGUGUGUACAUGGUAUUCAGAUUUUAUUUUUUUCAUUUCUUCAUUUUUUAUAAAGCUUUAUUUUUAAAAAGUUCCUAAUAAAAAUUUUUACAAGAAUAAAUCAUCAUUAGUAAUAUUACAUGACAAUUCAAUUUUUUUUCCUUUUUAUUUGUUUUGAUCUUCAUUUUGAUUUUUUCUUUUUUAGUUUUUUUUUCUCCCUUUAUUUUUUAUUGGAUCAAUUGUUUCAGUGAAAAAAACUGACCGGAUGUACCCACAUGGCAUCCUAUUUUAUUUUUUGCCUUUCAUCUUUUUUUUAAUUAGAUAAAUAUUAAAAUAAAAAAAUUAAUAUAUAAAUUUUAUAAGAUAAAAAUCAAUUGAAGUAUAGACAACAAAAUAUCUUGUAUCGUAUAUGUUUCGAUUCCUAUGGAUCAAUCGGUGUGCUUUUUCUUUUUUUUUUUAAUUUAGGAUUGGAAACCAUAAAAAAUAUGAAUUAUUACCAAAUUACAAUAGCAUCAUCUACUAAAAUAAUUUUGUAAGAAACCUUUAUGAAGUAAGAAACGGAAAACUUAUAAUUGAAAAAUGAAUUAAUUAAUAGUAGGAUAGAAAAAUAAUAAAAGAUUACAAUUAGUAAUUUCAUAAUCAAAUAAAUGAAUUUUUUUAAAAUUAAUGUAAAACUAUGUUUUCUAAACCAAAGCAAUGCACAAAUGACACUGCAAAUUGAUCCUUCAUAUAUGCCUUACAAACAUUUUAAUAAAAUUACAAAAAAAAAUUUAACUAUUUCCAAAAAUAAAAUCUUGAUAUAUAUAAUUUUGCUAAAUAAGAUAUUUAAACUUUUGAUAAAUGAAGUUACCUUCAUAAAUGAAAUCUUACUUGAAAUCCUGCAACUAAUUAACUCAUUUUAAUAGUUUAAUUUUCAUUAAAGUGUAAUUUUCUUUUGCUUGCUAAGACCAACAUCAGUAUGUACUUUAAUUUUUUUGUCAAAUAGCUACAGUUUUAUCAAAAUCAUUUUCGUCUAUACUUACAUAUAUGCACGUGCAAAAACAAAUGCAUAAAUGGGUAUAAAAUUAAAAAGAAUUAAGCAUUUAAUUAGAUUCAUAUAUAUAUAUAUAUGUAUAUAUACACACACAUAUAUCUGUAUUCCUCAUAAAUAGGUUGACUUUCAAGUUUUCUCGAAACCUUUUAUCAUGUUUUUAAGUAAUAAAAAUAUUAGGGUAUGGUUCAUAAUAGUACGAUUAACAUGUUCAUGGUAUUUGAUACACACAAUAGAACUUGCAAGGAUGUAAAAUUACACAGAUUUGAAUAAAAACAGGGGAUUUUAUUUUAUUUUAAUUUUAUCAUGUUUUUGAGAUAACAUGAAGGAAAAAGACCCAAAGCUAUAUAUUUAUUUUUCAUCAGUCAUAAGCAUCCCCCAUACUUAGGCUGAAAGUUGAUCCAUCAGCACUCAAACGGAACUGCUGAAGCCUUUAUUGUAAGCAUAUUCAAUAAGGGAAUCCAACUCAUCAUUGGUGCAGUCGAUCAAAUUGUCCUUAUUUUUAUCAGCAACGUCCAUGGCCUCUUCGACUUGCUUGUUUGGCGUGAGUGCACCUAGAUGUUGAAAAGCAUCCUUGAGCUGGUCCCUGGUGAGGCUGCCCUGCUUAGAGUAAGAUCGAAACACUUGUUCCAAUUUGUUUUUCUGAUCCUUGUUAUCCUUUGUGGCUUGCAUUGUGGAUUUUGAGGUUAUGACAGGGUGAUAUUAGAGAGAAGGCUUCCCUAGCUUGGUUUGGUUUUCUUUUUCCAACGCAAUUCGUUUAUAUAGACUCAAAACUUUGAAUACGAUUCUGUUGAAGUAUAGGGGUAUAAAACAUUAUUUGGUGGUGGGUUUUAAUAAUUGAUUUCCGUCCUCUUUAUCAAUAAAAGUAUUAAAUCAAUCAAUAAAUUUUUGUAAUGAACACUUCAACCAUGAGGAUUGGUACGAAUAAAAAUAUUAAUGUUAAUUUCUUCUUUUCUUCUGGCUUCAAAUUAACCACAGAUUGAAAAAUGCUAAAUAGCAGCCUCCACUAUCUUGUGUUGUAGUGAUGAUACAAGCCUCCACUAUCUUGUGUCCAUUUUCUAUUGUUUCAUUUGUUUUAGCCCUCAAUUUGCAGUUUAGUUUUUAGUUUUUUUUUUUUUUUGUGGUUGCCUGAUUAAAUGAUACAUUUUGGUUUUAAUGAAUUUCCAGAAUUUGGUAGAUCUCGUGAAAGGAGUUCUAGAAAGCACUUUGAUGAGCAUGCUUGAAAUUUGUGAUAAUUAUUGUGAAUGAAUGUUAAGUUAUCAAAAAAUAAAUAAGUUUAGUUUUAGGACUUUCUUUCUUUUAUUGUUUGCUAUGAGCAAACUACUGUUAAACUAAUUAUUUGCAUUGUACCACUUCCAGGAAUCGUGGCUUUAGUGGGUUAAAACUGUGUCCAUGUUUCUCUCUCGUAUGCUCUUAAUCUGGGUAGGAUAGAACUAAGUUUGGGCUAUUUCAAUUCCUUCGCACCUUUUUUCCCCUGUACUGUAAUAUUUUCUCAACCGCCCUUUUCAAGGGGAAAGCUGUAAUAUAUUUUUUUUUAUAUUUUUUCUUUUUUUUAAAUUGGAUAAUUUUGUAAAAAAAUUAUAUUGAUGGAAGUGUCUACAUGUCAUUCAGAUUUAAUUUUUUGAAUCCUUUAUUUUUUUAUAAAUCUUUAUCUUUAACAAGUUCAUAAUAAAAAUUUUUACAAGAAUAGAUCAUCAUUGCUAAUAUUAUGUGACAAUUUAAUUUUUUUUUGUUUUCAUUUUCGUUUUAUUUUAUUUUUUAGUUUUUUUUCUCCCUUUAUUUUUUAUUAGAUCAAUUGUUUCAGCAAAAAAAAAAAAAAAACCCAAUGGAUAUGCCCAUGUGCCAUCUUAUUUCAUUUUUUGCCUUUCAUUAUUUUUGUAAUUAGAUAAAUAUUACAAUAAAAAAAAUCAGUAUAUAAAUUUUUUAAGAUAAAAAUCCAUUGAGGUAUAGACCACAAAAUAUCUUGUAUCUUAUAUGUUUCGUUUCCUGUGAAUCCAAUCGGUGUGCUUUUUUUUAAAAAAAAAAAAAUUUAGGAUCAGAAGCCUUAAAAAAUAUGAAUUAUUACCCAAUUAUAAUAGCAUCAUCUACUAAAAUAAUUUUGUAAGAAACCCUUAUGAAGUAAGAAACGGAAAACUUAUAAUUGAAAAAUGAAUUAAUUAAUAGUAGGAUAGAAAAAUAAUUUAAAAAAUUACAAUUAAUAAUUUCAUAAUCAAAUAAAUGAUUUUUUUAAAAUUAAUGUAUAACUAUGUUUUCUAAACCAAAGCAAUACACAAAUGACCCACAAAUUAAUCCUUUCUAUAUACCUCGCAAACAUUUUAAUAAAAUUACAAAAAAAUUUUAAUUAUUUCCAAAAAUAAAAUCUUGAUAUUUAUAAUUUUGCUAAACAAGUUAUUUAAACUUUUGAUAAUUGAAGUUAUCUUUAUAAAUGAAAUCCCACUUGAAAUCUUGUAACUAAUUAACCCAUUUUGAUAUUUCAAUUCUCAUCAAGAUAUAUCUUUCUUUUGCUGCUGAGACCAGCAACAAUAUGUACUUUAAUUUUUUUUGUCAAAUAGCCUCAAUUUUAUAAAAAUUAUUUUGUCUAUACUUAUAUAUAUGCACGUGCAAAAACAUAUGCAUAAGUGUGUGUAAAAAUAAAAAGAAUUAAGCAUUUAAAUUAGAUUGAUAUAUAUAUACACACUAUCUGCUUUCCUUCGAAAAGGUUGACUUUCGAAUUUCUUCAAACCUUUUAUCAUGUUUUUAAGUAAUAAAAAUAUUAGUGUAUAGUUUAUAAUAGUAUGAUCAACGUGUUCAUGAUAUUUGAUACACACAAUAUAACUUGCAAGUAUGUAAAAUAACACAGAUUUUAAUAAAAAUAGGGGGUUUUAUUUUAUUUUAAUUUUAUCAUCUUUUUGUGACAACAUGAAAGAAAAAGACCCAAAGAUAUAUAUUUAUUUUUCGUCAGUCAUAAGCAUCCCCCAUACUUAGGCUGAAAGUUGAUCCACCAGCACUCAAACGGAACCGCUGAAGCCUUUAUUGUAAGCAUAUUCAAUAAAGGAAUCCAACUCAUCAUUGGUGCAGUCGAUCAAAUUGUCCUUAUUUUUAUCAGCAACGUCCAUGGCCUCUUCGACUUGCUUGUUUGGCGUGAGUGCACCUAGUUGUUGAAAAGCAUCCUUGAGCUGGUCCCUGGUGAGGCUGCCCUGCUUAGUGUUGGAGAACACUACAGCUCUGAUACCAUUUGUUGGGCUAAAAGCCUCCAAUCCAAUCACACCAGCGGAAGCAAAUCAAACAAUAAAUCAAACACAAAAGAGACAAUAAUUUAACGUGAUUCGGUCCAACUACCUACAUCCACGGAUAAGAAACAAGAUCCACUAGUUGUAAAAAAUUACAAACAUACAUCAAAUCAUCAACCUCACUCAAUAAUCAAUACUCAUAAGACACUCUCAAUCUCCUCUAGUCCUAUAGAGUAUUCUCAACCCAAACAAACACAAACCCAAACCCUUAUGCACUCUUUCAACAUAAUCAAACAUAUACCCAUAUGCUCCCAUACAUCAUACCUAUGUGGACCCUCUCAGUCUCCUCUAUUCCACUCACAAACAAACAUACACACCUAUAAGACGUAGAGUCCCAAUACUCCUAUGGGGUGUCUAUCCUACAAAACCCUACAACUCUCUUACAUCUUUUUUCUCAUACCUAACCCUGUAGAGACUUCACCUAUUUAUAACCAUACAAACUUACCCAUUAAGAAUCCCUCUCCUUUUAGAAUUCUUCUCCUGUAAGUCAAACAUGCCUAUUAAGAAUCCCUUUCCUUUUAGAAUUCUUCUCUUGCAAGUCGAACUUACCUAUUAAGAAUCCUCUUUCUCUUGAAAUUCUUCUUUUGCAAGUCUUCUUGUCCAUCAAGCAAUAUCUGACAAAUCUCAAACAAAUCUCUUAUGGAAUUUGAGUCAAUAUUCCUAACAAUCUUCACCUUGACUCAAAUUCCAUCAAUUAUCUGUCUUCAUGCUAGACAUGCUUAGCUCCACCUGCAAUGGAAGUCUUACAAUCAUCUUCUCUUCUCUUGUGUCUUCACGCUUCAUACAAACCAAUCUUCAAUCUUUAAAACUCGAACUCGAACUCUUCUCUUGAAUUGAGCUCCUCUAAAUUUAUUUCUUUUCAUGUCUUAAACCAAGCUUUUCCCAUAUCUCAAACUGUCAACUAUUCUCAUGUCUCGAACUAUCGGUUCUUUCCACAUCUUGAAUCUUCAACUCUUCUCACGUUUCGAACCUUCAGCUCUGAUACCACUUGUUGGGGAACACCACAGCUCCGAUACCAUUUGUUAGACUAAAAGCCUCCAAUCCAAUCACACCAGCGGAAGCAAAUCAAACAAUAAAUCAAACACAUAAGAGACAACAAUUUAACGUGGUUCAGUCCAACUACCUAUAUCCACGGAUGAGAAACAAGAUCCACUAGUUGUAGAGAAUUACAAACAUACAUCAAAUCAUCAAUCUCACUCAACAAUCAAUACUCAUAAGACACUCUCAAUCUCUUCUAGUCCUAUAGAGUAUUCUCAACCCAAACAAACACAAACCUAAACCCUUAUGCACUCUUUCAACAUAACCAAACACAUACCCAUAUGCUCCCAUACAUCAUACCUAUGUGGACCCUCUCAGUCUCCUUUAAUCUACUUAUAAACAAACAUACACACCUAUAAGACGUAGAGUCCCAAUACUCCUAUGGGGUGUCUAUCCUAUAAAACCCUACAACUCUCUUACAUCUUUUUUCUCAUACCUAACCUUGUAGAGACUUCACCUAUUUAUAACCAUACAAACUUGCCCAUUAAGAAUCCCUCUCCUCUUAGAAUUCUUCACCUGUAAGUCAAACAUGCCUAUUAAGAAUCCCUUUCCUUUUAGAAUUCUUCUCUUGCAAGUUAAACUUACCUAUUAAGAAUCCUCUUUCUCUUGGAAUUCUUCUUUUGCAAGUCUUCUUGUCUAUCAAGCAAUAUCUGACAAAUCUCAAACAAAUCUCUAACAAAUCUCAAACAAAUCUCUUAUGAGAUUUGAGUUAAUAUUCCCAACAAUCUUCACCUUGACUCAAAUUCCAUCAAUCAUCUGUCUUCAUGCUAGACAUGCUUGACUGCACCUUAAGAAUCCCUCUCCUCUUAGAAUUUUUCUUCUGUAAGUCAAACAUGCCUAUUAAGAAUCCCUUUCUUUUUAGAAUUCUUCUCUUGCAAGUCAAACUUACCUAUUAAGAAUCCUCUUUCUCUUGAAAUUCUUUUUUUGCAAGUCUUCUUGUCCAUCAAGCAAUAUCUGACAAAUCUCAAACAAAUCUCUAACAAAUCUCAAACAAAUCUCUUAUGAGAUUUGAGUCAAUAUUCCCAACACUUAGAGUAAGAUCGAAACAGUUGUUCCAAUUUGUUUUUAUGAUCCUUGUUAUCCUUUGUGGCUUGCAUUGUGGAUUUCGAGGUUUAUGACUGGGUGAUAUUAGAGAGAAAGCUUGUCUAGCUUGGUUUGGUUUUCUUUUCCAACGUAAUUUGUUUAUAUAGACCCAAAACUCGAUUUGUAUUCCGUUGAAGUGUAGGGGAAUAAAAUCUUUUUUUGUGGUGGUUUUUAAAAUUUGAUUUCGAUUGAAAGGAAACGAUAUAAUUGUAUGACAAUUUCUUCAUUUGAAUUUUUUUUAAGUAUCCAUUUUAUUAAUAAAAUUAAUAUAUCAAUCAAUAAAUUUUUAUAAUGAAUACACAUAAACAAAUAUUCCAAGAGGAUUGGUACGAAUAAGAAUAUUAAUGUUGGCUUGAAAUUAACCACAGAUUGGAAAAUGCUAAGCGUAGUGAUAGCGGCCUCCCUUUCUUAUGUCCUAGUGAUGAUAGCAGCCUCCACUAUCUUGUAUCCAUUUUCUAUUGUUUCUUUUGAUUUUGCAGGUGAAAAGGCUAGACAAUGAAGUCAAGAGUAAGGAAUCUAAACUCUCACCCUGUCCAAAUUUGAGCUGUUUCUACACGAAAAAAGUUUUAAAAAAAUCGUCUUGUUGCUCUUGGUUGGACAGAACUUGAUCAUACACAUUGAUUUUCUAAAAACUUAUAAUUUGAAGGAAGUGUCUUGUCUGUAGGAUAAUUUGAUAUUAUUGGUUAAAAAUAUUGUUAUAACAUAUAAAUUUAUGGACCCAUCAUAGACAUAAACUUUAAGAGUCGUUACUAUUUUUUUUUUGUUUAGGUGCAAUUAACCAUUUAACUGAAUCUAUCUUAUUUAAAGAGUAUAUCUAAGAUAGACUUAGGCAUUAUAAAAAUAGACUUAGGCAUUUAAAGAGUAUAUCUAAGAUAGACUUAGGCAGUAUAUCUAAGAUAGACUUAGGCAUUCUUCUGUUUGUCAAUAGACUGAUCCUUCCCUCUCUCUCUCUUCCCUUCCUUUCCUCUCCCCUCUCUCUAAACAGACGAAGAACUCCGGUUGAAUUUCAUCAGAUUUUGGAAAAUGUCAUCGAAAUCUGGGUUUUUCACCAGAAAUUCAUCGAAAAGUUGAUCGAUUUCUGGAAAUAGUCGCCAAAAACUGGGUAGCUGAUCGAAAAAUUCAAACUUGGCCUGAAAAUUCACCGAAAAAUUUAAACUUGGCCGAAAAUUUCAAUCGAAAUCUAUAAAUUUUUCAAAAAUUUUCAGAAAAAAAUUUGCCAAAAUUCUAAAAAAAUUUUGAAAUUACUUCUGGCCCUUCUGAAGGCUUUUUUUUUUCUUUUUGCUCUUUUUCUCAGUCAGUCUCUGUGUUUCUGUUCUAGUCUUUAUGAUUCAUGGAUCUAUUUAUAGGGAUUGAUCAGAAGAGUUUCUGAUCAAUCCCAACUCUUCCUUGGAUUGGGAUUCAAUCCUUGAAUCCAAUAUAGACUCUGAUUGAAUCCUAAAUCUACGGUAGAAUUCCAAAUUUCCAUCCCAAUCUCAGCCGAAUAAAAAGAAAAAGAAAAUCAAAUCAAAUAAAAAAAUGUUAAUAGAUAAUUAAAAAAAUAAUUAGAUAAAUAAAAAUGUUAAUAGAUAAAUAAUAAUAAUAAUAAUAAUAAUAAAUAUAUAAAUAGAUAAGUAAUAAUAAAAAAAUAUAUAUUAAUAAAUAGUAAUAAUAAAUAAAUAAUAAAUAAAUACAAAAAAUACAAAAUACAUAAUAAAAACAAAAUAAAACAAAAUGAAAUGGGCUAACCCAUUUAGACCAGGCCCAAUUGAUCUGGGCUUGGACCAAAUUAAGUGUCUACAGUUGCCCCUCUUUGCAUAUUUUCUGUGAAACAGAAAUUGCGCAAAGAUGUAGACACCCAUUCAAAACUCCACUCGACCUUUUUUUUUUUUUGCUUUUUUUUGUUAAAAUUUUGAUCAAAGUUCCUCUAAGCAGAGGCUCAACGACUUUGAAAAACAUAAACAAAGCUCCUCUAAUCAGAGGCUCAAAGACUUUGAAAAUAAUAAACAAAGCUCCUUUAAUGAGAGGCUCAACGACUUUGAAAAUAAAUAAACAAAGCUCCUCUAAUCAGAGGCUUAACGACUUUUGGGGAAGUAAAUUGCUCGUCUAAUCAGAGGCUCUAUGACUUUUGGAAAGUAAAUUACUCCUCUAAUUAAAGGCUCUACGACUUUGAAAAAUAAACAAAGCUCCUCUAAUCAGAGGCUCAAUAACUUUUGAAAAUAAAUUGCUCCUCUAAACAGAGGCAUGACAACUUUGAAGAAUAGAUUGCUCCUCUAAUCAGAGGCAUCACAACUUUGGAAAAUAAAUUGUUCCUUGACAAUCAUGUUCAAAGGCGUUGAAAAUCAUGUUUGAAGGAAUUUCAGGAGAUUAUGCCCAAAGGUCUUACAAAUCAACCCUGAUACCGAGAGACAUCCUACUUUAAGGAUUAGAAACUUACCUGACAAGCUUUUUUCCCAAAUUUGAAAAUGUUUUUACAUCCGUCUUAUCUAUGUGGGAUGUUGGAAUACCCCUGCUUCUUGAAUUUAUGCACUAUAUUUUCUUGAAUGUAGUAUAUGCUAUGCAAUGCAUGUGAAAUUCAAUGCACGCUAUGUAAAUGUUGGCUAAUUAAUUCCUAUUCAAUUGUGGUACUCAAGUUUCUCAAGCUCUUUUCUUGGGCAUCACCCUUUAUUCUUCAAAGAUCAAAUUACACUACUCUUCUAAGAUCGAGCCAGUAUAGCUCUCAAUCAUCUCUUCCACUCACAUUCUUCCUGUAAGAAAUCUCUUUCCAAAUUUAAUAUCCUUAUCAGGAACUGAACAUCUCAAUUCUGCUUUUAUCACUCUUGACUUCUUCAAUGUAAUGUAAAAAUCUUUCAUGCCAUUAUUCAUUUAUCAAUCAUUAUUUCAAACUCAACAAGUAAGAAUGCAUUUGCACAUUUCUUUGAUUGUAGAGUAUUAAGAAGAAAAGAAUAAGAAUGGUUGAGAAACUGUCAACAGAAAAGGCACACAAAAAGUGAAAUAGAAUGUUUUUUUAUUAGCAAAAUGUUGGCAAACUUUGUCCAAGGAAGAAUUACAAGGAUAAGUAUAGGGAGACAAAGCCCAAAAAUGAACAAUAGGACAAUCAUGAUAACACAUCUCAAGGUUUUCUGAAAACCCAACCAUCUGAUGCAUUUAACAACUCAGAGCUCCUCCAAAUUUGCUAACCUCUACGCCAAUAGAUUUUUGAAAUUUGAUGCUAUAUUCUCCUUAUCUAAGCUACCUUUUUAGGUUUUCAACUUAGAUAAACCCCUAUGACUCAAACUGCCCUUUUAGGGUUUUUGCCUUGAGUCCUCAUUUUUCAUUCACUUUUUUUUCUUUUUUUUCAUUUUUCAUUUUUUUCAUUUUAUUUUUUCUUUUCUUUUUUUUCAAGCAUAGUAUUUCUUCACAGCAUCAAAAUUUAUAGGAUGGGGUAAAUCAUUUCCAUCCAUUUCAGUCAGUAUUAGUGUUCCACCUAAGAAAGCCUGUUUCACUACAUAUGACAUUUUCUAAUUCAGAGUCCAUUUUUCUCUAUUAUUGUGCUGGAUUGGAAGGAUUCUCUUCAAGACCAACUCUCCUUCUCGAAAGCAAUGGGGUCGAAUCUUUUUGUCAUGAGCCCUCAUCAUUCUUUUUUGAUAUAACUGACCAUGGAAUAAUGUAGUCAAUCUCUUUUUUUCUAUGAAAUUUAAUUGUUCAUAGCGUUCUCAAAUCCAUUCAGCUUUUUUCAACUCAACUUCUUUUAGAACCCUUAAGGAUGGGAUCUCCACUUCCACUAGUAGUACAGCUUCCAUCCCAUAAACCAAAGAAAAUGAGGUUGCCUUAGUAGAGGUAUGCACUGAUGUUCGAUAUGCAUGUAGUGCAAAUGAUAACUUCUCAUGCCAAUCUUUAUAAGUCUCAGUCAUCUUCUCAAGAAUUCUUUUUAUGUUCUUGUUGGCUGUCUCAACUGCCCUAUUCAUUUUCGGACGGUAUGGUGUCAAGUUAUAAUGCUUGAUCUUGUAUUGAGCACAUAUUUCUUGCAUCAUCUUACUAUUUAGAUUCUUGGCAUUAUCUAAAAUAAUUCUCUCUGAAAGUCUAUAUCUACAGAUAAUCUCUCUCUUUAUGAAUUUACAAACCACAAAUCAUGUUACAUUUGCAUAUGAUGCUGCCUUCACCCAUUUUAUGAAGUAAUCUAUUAUCACAAAAAUAAAUUUAUGCCCAUUAGAAGCCUUUGGGGUGAUAGGACCAAUGACAUCCAUGCCCCACAUUGAGAAUGGUCAGGGUGGUGCCAUAAUAUGUAAAAUAGAUGGUGGGGCAUGAAUUUUAUCAGCAUAUAUCUGGCAUUUAUGGCAUUUACGAGCAUAGUCAAUGCAAUCACUCUCCAUUGUCAACCAGUAGUAUUCUGCUCUUAUGAUCUAUCUCGUCAUCAUAUGUCCAUUGGCAUGUGCCCCACAUAUUCCAUCAUGUAUCUCUUCAAUGAUUUUUCUUGCUUCAGCCUUACUUACACAUCUUAGUAAUACUUGAUCAUGGCUUUUUUUGUACAGAACAUUCCCAUCUAGGAAAAAACUCAUAGCUAAUCUUUGGAUGACCCUUUUAUCAUUUUUUAUUGCUUGAACUAGGUAUUGUUGAUCCUUAAUAUAUUGUAAGAUAUCAUAAUACCAGGGCUUUCCAUCCUUCUCUUCUUCUACAUUAGAGUAAUGAGCUGGCAUAUCCUUAACAUCUAGCCUGAUGGGUUGAAUGUCAAUAUUGUCAUUAAUUCAAAUCAUUGCAGCCAGAGUAGCUAAGGUAUUGAUAAUCAGAUUCUUUUUUCGAGGUAAAUGAUCAAACUAGAUAUCUUUAAAUUGUUUUAUCAACUCUAAAAUAUACUUAUGAUAUGGAACGAGUUUUGAAUCUCUCGUCUCUCAUUCCUCUUUCAACUUAUAUAUAACUAGAGCUAAAUCCCCAAACAUUUUUAAUGCUUUCACUCUUCUAUCUAUAGCAGCUUGUAGGCCCAUGACACAUGCCUCAUAUUUAGCAAUGUUAUUUGUGCAAUUAAAAUUUAACCUUGCUAUUACAGGGCAGUAUUGUUCUUCUAGGGAGAUCAGAAUUGCUCCAAUUUCAUGUUCCAAGGCAUUGGUAGCUCUAUCAAAAUACAUUCUCCAACACUUUUCUCCAUGCCUUCCUUUCUUCAAUUGGAAAAUAGUUAUUAAAUCUUCAUUAAGGAAUUCUAACCUCAUUGGUUCAUAUUCUUCAGUAGCAUGAUCUGUGAGGAACUCCACUAUAGCGCCUUCUUUUAUUGUCUUUUGGCUUACAUAUAUAAUAUCAUACUCCGAGAGUAUUACUUGCCAUCUAACAAUUCUUCCAGAUAAAGAAGGCUUCUCGAAGAUGUAUUUAAUUGGAUCCAGUUUUACUAUGAGCCAUAUGGUAUGAUAGAGCAUAUACUGUCUGAGUCUUUUGGCAGUCCACGUUAAUGCACAAUACAUUUUCUCCAAUGAGGAAUACUUGGAUUCAUAUUCUGUGAACUUUUUACUCAGAUAGUAAAUAGCUCUCUCUUUUUGGUUAGACUCAUCUUAUUGCUCCAACACACAUCUCAUUGAAUUUUCACACACUGUCAAGUAUAGAAUUAAAGGUUUCCCUGGAAUAGAUGGCACCAACACUGGAGGGUUUGACAAGUAUUGCUUAAUUUUAUCAAAAACCACUUGACAUUCCUCAUUCCAUUUUCCAAGAUUAUUCUUGCAAAGAAGCUUAAAUAUGGGAUCAUAUUUAUAAGUAAGCUGAGAGAUAAAUCGAGAAAUAUAAUUCAAUCUUCUCAAAAAACCUUGAACCCCCUUUGGUGUACUCGGAGGUGACAAAUUUUAAAUGGCCCGUAUCUUGUCUGGAUCGACUUCAAUUCCUCUUUCACUGACCACAAAGCCUAGUAACUUUCCUGACUUUACCUCAAAUGUGCACUUGGCUAGGUUUAACUUAAGCUGAAACCUUCUCAAUCUCUCAAAUAACUUUCUAAGGCUGGUGAUAUGAUCUUCAUUCUCACAAGAUUUUACAAUCAUAUCGUCUACAUACACCUCAAUCUCUUUAUGCAUCAUGUCAUGGAAGAGUGUUACCAUGACCCUUUGAUAUGUUACCCCAGCAUUUUUAACCCAAAAGGUAUGACUUUGUAACAAAAGGUUCCCCACAUGAUCACGAAAGUAAUUUUUUCCAUAUCAUCUGCAGCCAUUUUUAUCUGAUUAUACCCUGAGAACCCAUCCAUAAAGGAAAAAAUUGAAUGCCUAGCCGUGUUAUCUACCAGUGUGUCGAUAUGCGGUAAAAGAAAGUUAUCCUUUGGACUAGCCUUAUUUAAAUCACGAUAGUCUGCACACAUUCAUACCUUUCCAUCUUUCUUAAGAACCGAUACUAUAUUGGCUACCCACUCUAGAUACUUAGCCAUUUGUAGAAAACCUGCAUCAAACUAUUUUUUCACCUCUUCUUUGAUCUUUAGUAGCAUUUAAGGCUUCAUUCACCUCAGUUUCUGUUGAACUGGCUUACAUUAUGAUUUUAGGGGCAAUCUGUGCUCUACUAUCUCCGUGCUCAGUCUUGACAUAUUUUGGUAAGACCAAGCAAAUACAUCCAUGAAUUUCCUAAGUAGAUCUGCCAAAUGUUGUUUAUCUUCUGAUGAAAGUGAAGUGCCAAUUUUGACAUCUUUCUUAUUCUCUUCAUCUCUCAGAUUCACCAAGUUAAUUAUCCCUGAUGAGGCUCAAUUGACUUAUUUUCUUGUUCAAUCAAUCUUAUUAGGUCUGAAAGUAUAACAUAUUCCUCAUAAUUCUCUUCAUUGUCAAGUUCAUCAGUGUUAAUUGAAUUCUCAAAACUAACCUCUUAAUUGUUAUCAUAAUUAUCUUCAUGUUUAUUUAAGGACCUAAAAUUGUAUGAAAUGAGAUAUGUUGACCAGAUGUGUUUGAAAAAAUGGCAAUAAUAAAGACACAAGAAGAAAUGAAUGAAAAUACAUCCUUCUAAAUUUUUAUUAAAAUAAUAAAAGAUAAAUGACGCAAAGAAGAAAGAUCAUCCCAAUGUCUUGGGCAAUAGCUAUUGGGAUGUUACAAUUACAUUGUAUUAGUUUCAAAAGUCACAGACACUUUAAUGGCACUGCAAUUAUUUAGCUCAUAAUUUGGUGGACCCACCUCUUUUGAUUAAGCCCUACUUCAUCUUUAAUAGCAUUAAUGGUUAACUGGGUAAAAGCCCUUUCCAUGCUUUUUUUUGUAUUUGAAUACAUGAAUCUUCCAGGUCUAAAAGUCUCAUACAGGUGUGGGAUAACCAUUAGUCUUACUGUUUUUUCUACUGGCCUUCUCUUGAUCUCUCAUUUUGCUAUCUCAUAGCCUAGGCCUAACCUUUCACUAUUGUCUAUCACUGCCGGGGGUUCUUUUAUUCCUUGCAAGUUCUUGCCCAGCCUUAAUCCUGGAUACCAGCCCUUAUUGAUGACUUGGCUUAUCACUAUCCUUGAAAAAGAUUAAUUUUUAAGUCCUUCACCUAUACAAUUAACUAAUUCAAAAGAUCGAUGAGAGCAUUCUACUACUUUUUCGAUAGCCUUUACAUACGGAGCAUUCAAGGUUGGAUCACUAGCAUGUCUUCCUCCCCAACUACCACUACUAAUUGACCUUUUACAUUAAACUUGAUCUUUUAGUGUAAGGUAGAGGGCACAGCACCUGCCAUGUGAAUCCAUGGCUUUUUUAGUAGACAACUGUAGGAAGGAGAGAUAUCCAUCACUUAAAACUUCACAUUAAAAGUGUACGACCCUAUUUGUAAGGACAUCUCGAUAUCUCUCAAGACUUCUCUUUUGGUUCUAUCAAAAGCUUUCACGAUCAUCUGACUGUCUUUCAUAUGAGAGUAGUCAAUGGGUAACCUUGCCAAAGUUAACAUAGGCAUGACGUUGAUAGCGGAGCCAUUAUCAAUAAGGACUUUAGCUAUGAUAUGGCUCUUGCACUUGACCGUGAUAUACAAAGCCUUGACAUUUCUUCUUCCCUCCGAGGAAAUUUCAUCAUCAUUGAAUGAAAUGUAAUUCAGCAUGACUAGAUUUCUAACUAGGUGGUUCACAUAUUCAACAGAUACAUUAUGUGCCACAUAUGCCUGGUUCAAUACUUUCAGCAGGGUGUUUUGAUGUGGCUUCGAAUUUAAUAACAGUGAUAGUAAUGAAAUUCAUGCUAGCAUUUUAUUCAACUAUUCAACAACUGAAUACUCACUAUGUUUUACCAGCUUCAAGAAUUCACAAGCUUUUUUUUCUAACACCGACUUCGGGCGAUCUUCCUCAGGUUCUACUUCAAGGUUAUUUCAUCCUUCUCCUUCAUUAGCCUUCUCUCUUCUAGCUUUCUCCAAUAUUUUUAGAGUGUAACAUCUUUCACUUCGGGUAAUACCUCUUACACUAGUUAUAUUGGAAGUGUCAGCUUUAGAGACAUCCCUUUUUUACCCCUGAACUACUGUAUUGCAGCCAUAUUUCUAGGGUACAGCUUUAUCAUCCUUGUAUGGGAAAGGAGUCGAAACUUUAAAAGUUAUCAGCUUGGGAAUGAGUUUAUCUAUGAUUGACUUUGGCUUGUUCCCAUAAUGAAUGGUCACCGACUUUGGAAACAGUUUUACAGGCUUAUCAGUCAUAGACACUUCAACACUUUCUAAGUCUUCUCUUUUUUCGUAAACCUUUAUCUAGUAUAAAUUUAAGAGCUUUUGCACUUUUUAGUGAAACUGCUCACAAGUUUCGAUAGAGUGACCCAUUGUCCCGCUAUGAUAUUUACAAGAAGUGCCGACUAUAUAUAUUCCAUGAUGGCUGUAUGGACUCAUUGGUUGUAUCAUGUCAGCUUUUCAUAAAAUAUCAAACAGCUGACUAAGAGGCGUUUUAAUAUCUGCCAUUUCUUUCUUUAAAUGGUGCUCUUGUUCUUCACUUAAAGCAUUCAUAUUAUGAUUAGGGAAGGGAUUGCCACUAAAAUUUGGUGUAGUCACCCCUCCUGUAUCAAAGUUAAUUAUUCCAUCCUUGAUCAAUCAUUGCACUUUGUGUUUCAGGACGGUGUGAUUUUCGAUAGAGUGACCGACAAUCCUAUAGUGAUAGUCACAAUGGGCUGUGGGAUCAUACCACUUAGGGUAAGGUAGCUUGAAGGGCUCUAAUUUACUAGGAGCAAUCAGAUGACUAUUGUAAAACUCAUGAUAUAAUUCUGUAUAGGUCAUUGGGAUUAGGUCAAAUACAAGUUUUUUGUGAGUAGUUUGUUACUCCCGUGAACCACCCAUUAGGUUAGCUAGAUGAGUUUAGGGUUUUAGGUAGGCUGAAUAUUAGGACUAUAUAUGGUAUUCUAAGGCCUAAGAGGAGGUUGAUAUGUUUGGGCAUAAGGUGACUAUGCAAAUGGUUGGUAUGGGUAAGGGGAAGUGUUAUUUACAGUAGGGUAAUAUGGAAGGUAUCCUUGUGGUGAGUAGGGUUGAUAACCUCCAAAUUAUCGUCUAUUAAAGCUCAUAGCUUGAGCUUCAGUCUCUUUCUUCUUUAGGACUCUUUUGCUAGAUGCUUCACUUCCUUUCAACUUGCCAUUCUUGAUGGCAUUCUCGAUAAUUUCUCAUGAAAUUACCAUAUUAGCAAAAUUUUUGGUUGCAUUCCCUAUCAUCUUUUCAUAAUAGAAAGGUUUCAAAGUGCUAACAAACAGCAUUGUAAUCUCUUUCUCAGUCAGAGGAGGUUGUACUUGAGAAGCUACAUCCCUUCAUUUCUAAGCGUAUUCUUUAAAAGACUCAUUUGCCUUUUUCUCCAGGUUCUGUAAAGACAAACGAUCAGAAGCCAAAUCGAUAAUAUGUCGAUAUUGAUUGAUGAAGUCAUGAGCUAUAUCACUUUAAAAAUGAAUACGGGUUCUAUCAGCUGGACAUACCACCUGGUAGCAGAGCCUGUAAGGCUAUCUUGAAAAACAUGCAUUAGUAGUUUUUCAUUAUGUGCAUGGGCUGCCAUCUUUCGACAAUACAUGGUGAUAUGAGUUUUUGGGCACUUCGUAUCAUCAUAUUUCUCAAAUUCUGGUACUUUGAACUUUGGUGGAAUGACUACAUUCGAGACUAAGCAUAGCCCAGCAGCAUCAACAGAACCAUAAAAUCCAAUUCCUUCUACGGCUUGUAAUCUUUAUUCAAACAUACUAAUCUUUAGAUCUUCCUGAGACUCUGCCACUUUUGCUUUCUCUUUAUUUUUCAAGUCAUCUAGAUUAGGAAUCGGUUCUAUUGCCUUUUCAAUAAAGAUAGAAUUUACAUAGCUAUGGUAAUGCCUUGGAUUGGAGGCUGAUAGCAUUCCAGGAUAUGUAAGAUAUGCGAAGUAUUGUGGUGAAACCUCUUGUGUAGACUAGGCUUGAGGUGGACCAAAACCUGAAGGAUAUAAAAGGUCAGCCACUUUUUGUAAUGGGGGAACUUGUUGGUUUGUAUUUUCUUCUAUUCCUUUUCCCUUAUUCAGCUUAUUGAGAGCAUCUAAAAUCUUGCUCAACUCAUUUUCAAUCUUUUCCUGUGCUUUCUCUAGCUUUUCAAAUCUGUGAGAGUUUUUCUGCUCCAUUUGUCUGACUCUGGCUUUUGUGUUGUAUCGAUGGAUAGGGUUCUCGCUAGAUGGAGUUAUCCUUGAACCUUGAGUACCAUAUCUUAGAAUUAGUAAAUUUGCAUGACUAUCUCAUGGUUACUUUGUUAAGUGUAAUGAGUGAGAAUGCAAUGAAUGAGAAUGCAUGUAUGCAAAGAACAUUUGCCUUAAAGAUGGUAUUUAACUAAAAGAUUUCAUUUAUUCCAAAAAACUUUUAUUUACAUUGAGUUUAUCAGCCUAAAAUUAUAACCAUAAAAUUGUUUGAUCUGUUUAUAUUGGGCCUUGGCUUUUUCGAUAAAGUUUAAUAGACGCUACCCAUGCUCUCUUACUGGGGUCACCACUUGUUUUAAUACCUCUGCCUCUUCUACCAUCUCUCUUGCCUUGCAUACCCCUUUACAAAUUUGGGUCGUUAGGUACUCAAUAUAUUUCUAUCUUCUUAAGUUCUCUCUUUUACCAUACCAGACUUGAUAUGAUAACUGUCUAUCCUCCCUAACUAAUGCAGCAAUAUGGUCUUUUUGUUCAUUCAACUUUUAUCUCAGCCUGCUUAGAUAACUAUUCAGCAUGUUAUUCUCUAUCUAGACUUAGGUACUUUCUUCUUCCAAUUCAGCAUAUUUUUGUUUCAAUCUUGCAUUCUCUUCAGUUAGCUCAAUAAUCAUUAUCUCUUUGGCCCUUUCUCUCACGCAUAAUCUCUUAUAUUUUGAUAUAGCUCUGCUAGGUCUUUAAUAGUCGUAUCAUGUUCUCUAACAAUCUUACAAACUUUGGCUUCAUGUCUUUCAGCUCUAUCUUUCCACUAGUCUUUUUCUUCUUGAAGCUUCUGGAUUUCUUACUUUAACUUACCCUUUUCAUACUCAAAUUUUUUUGUCGCAAGCUCUAAUUCUGAUGGUGUCUCUUCAAGCUUUCCUCUUGUUGGCGGUUGAAAGCUUUCAUAAGUGAAUACCAUUUCUUGUUUUCAUUUUGCUCUCCAAACCAAAUACCCUGGAGUGACUUUAUCAGUAAACGAUCCAAGACUCACUCUUCGGGGAUUUUUCCAUGCUUUAAUCAUCUCAUUCAUCUUUUGAAAUACUUUUGGCUCACUGUAAGAGAAAUCUAAUUAAUGAAGCCCAUACGUCAUAGGAAUAAACUGUUCUGCCCCAAACUACCUUUUCACUGGGAGUGAUGCAUAAUUUGUCGCUCCCUAUAAACCCAGAAGUGGGGCCACUAUAUUUAUCCCCACAUUGAUACAACAUAGGCUCACGAUUCAUCUAUGGGGCCAACCAUCUUACUGUGGCACUGGUCAAUUUUUAUAGGAAAGUUAUCCAUUCUUUUUUAGAUUUUCAUUCUGACCACCCACUUUCACAGAAUUCUUUGAUCAGAGCUCGAUUACGAACAUAAAGCUUUGAGAAAGCACCUUUUCUCCAUUCAAAAUGGCUUUUCAUCCAUAAGUAUAACAACUGUAUGCAACCUAUAAAGCGCCCUCCAUUCCGACGGUAGUAAUUCAAAGAUCUGAUAGUCUCUACUAAUAUUAUGGUUGAAGGAUUACAGCCAUUGAUCACACUCUCGAAGAAGUCAACCACCUUUAUCUCAAUAUAACCCAAAACCUUUGAGAAGAUCACCUUUCCAUAUAUAGCUAAGGCAAAUACAUCUAACCCCCGUUCUUCGUUGGCAUGUUGCAAUAGAAACUCAUGAAAGAACUUCCACGGUAGGCAAACCUGUUCUUGUUUCUUCUUUAUAUGAGAAUCCACAACUUCUUUGUCUAUCCUCAUGAGUUAAGCUAAACCAUUACAAAAUCCUGACUUGUGUUUUUUGACAUAUAUCUUAUCGGGAGCCUUGAGGUGCAAACCCAACAAAGUUGAAUAUUCUUUGAUGGUUGUGUCAUAUCAACUUCAUUGAAGAUGAAAUACUUGUAUGCAGGAUCCCAAAAUUAUGCUACAGCUCUGAUUAGUUGAUCGUCGAUAACUACUGCUAGAAGGUGUGCUAUAUGCCCAUGUCUCUGGCAAAACUGCUCUUGUCUUGACGAACUCAUCUUCUUCCAUAAAUCAACCAAGUCCUCUAGAUUAUUUUGUUUGAGAAGGAUAGAUGUUUCUUGAGACAAGGUAGAAUCAUAUCCGAUUGAUAAACAAUCCCCCAUCUUCAGUUGAAUCUUUUUUUACUGGACCAUUACUUCGUUGGGUGACUCACAAGGUGCUAAUACAGAUGAAGAACAAACUAGUUGUUUUAUGGAGUCCAUGAAAAAUUUUUGUAAAAGACCGUCUUUCAAGCAAAUGUUCUUUAUGCAACUUUAUGAUAUAAGCAUGAACCGAUGCAAAAGAAUGAGAGAAAAGGUUAGUAUGCUCAGAAAAAAAAAGAAUAAAUAAAUAACUAAGUAAAUUAAAAUAUCACACAGAAUAAGAGGAAUGAAUCCUAUGCUUUUGGUUAAUUCUAAAAAGGAAGAAUAAUGGCUCUAUCUAUAGGUUAGGCACUCUUAAGGUUCACUAUAUGUGGUUUGAUGUUAAAGUCUAAAGGUUCCUAAAUUACUCCUUACAUCAUUGUCCAUCACAGACUAGUAAGGCACCCUAAUCCUCACCCAUUACAAGCUACAAGCGAAAAAGGUUCAAUUUGAGUGGGAGUAUUUCGUUAGUCACUGUAGAGGCAUUAGACCUCACGAAAGUAAUAGGUACUUUACUCCCUUAUAGAGGCACGGAGCUCGGGUAUAGAGCUCAUGUUAUGCAUAUGCAUAUGAAUGACAUAAUUAAUAAAGUAAAUAAACAUGAAUGAAUAAAAGAAUCUAUACAAAAGGUUCAAUUUUAUUGGGCUUUUGGAUAACAUAAAUUUAUUUGCUGGCCUAACUCUCAGACAUCCCCAGUGGAGUCUCCAAGCUGUCAUAACAUCUAAAUUCAGGGAUCUAUCACUAGACAUUGACUUAAGGAGUUGCCACCAAUCUUUUUUAUCUAGGUGUGAUUAGCCACCUAAGGAAUCUAUCUUUUCAGGGAACACCUAAGUUUAAGGGUCCCUAAAAGAAUAGGUUCAAGUCUACUAACCAGAAUAGGGUUCGAGAGUUCGGUUACGUGUGAGGAAGGUUAUAGCACCCUCACAACGCCCAUCGAAAGAUGGUACCAGCUUAAUUUUGUGUUAUCCAAUAAGCCUUAAAAAUUUACCAAGUAAUUAAUUAUUGAAAAUUAUUCUCAAUUGACUCUAAUACUUUUAGCAAAAAUUUGAAAAAAUUUUCUCACCUCAAGAGUAUGCAAGAAAACUACUAUUUCACUUGUAGAGGCUCCAUCGUCGGAUUAUUUAACAUUAAAGAAAAUUCAAGAAAAUAAAAAGGAAAAAAAUGAUUGCUUUAGAUAUAAACUCUUUUCUCUUCAAGAAUUCAGUGCUUUUAUACAAGAAAAAUUUAUAUUUUCAACUUUUCCUCAAAAAUUCAUUUUUGAAAACUUAUUUUUAAGUAAAAUUGAUACUUUCAACUUUUUCCCAAAAAUAUUCUUUCUCAAAAAUAUAUUUUAGAAAGAUUAUUUUCAAGAAAAAAUGAUACUUUCAACUUUUCCCCAAAAAUAUUUUUUAGAAAUACUUAUUUUCAAGGAAAAUUGAUACUUUCAACUUUUUUCAAAAAUAUUUUUUAAAAAGCUUAUUUUCAAGGAAAAUUAAUACUUUCAACUUUUCCUCAAAAAUUUUUUUAGAAAAACUUAUUUUCAAGGAAAAUUGAUACUUUCAACUUUUUCCCAAAAAUAUUUUUAGAAAGCUUAUUUUCAAGGAAAAUUGAUACUUUCAACUUUUCCUCAAAAAUAUAUUUUUUUGAAUUUUAUUUAAAGAAAAUAAUAAAAAUAAAAAUAAAAAUAAAAAUAAAAAUAAAAUAAAAUGAGAUAAAAUAAGAAAUACUAAAUAAUUCUAAUCUAAUCAAUAAAUAAUAAUAAAUAAAUAAAUAAAUAAAAACCUAAAAACGGCUCGGCUUAGCAGCUCGGCUCGGCUCAGCUCCGUACUCGGGUCACACGUGGGUCGUAAGCGAGUUGGCACUCAGGUCGGGUUGCCCAAUUUCAAAACGCGCAGAUCCUCUAAGAACAGUUACGCCAAAAUGAUGUCGUUUUCAACAAGUAUAAAAGGCUAAUUCCUUUAUUUUUCAGUAGAUCGAUCCUUCCCUCUCUCUCUUUCCUUCCUUUCCUUUCCCCUCUCUUUAAACAGAUGAAGAACUCCAGUUGAAUCUCGUCGAAUUUUGGAAAAUGUCAUCGAAAUCUGGGUUUUUUUGUUGAAAGUUCAUCAAAAAGUUGGUCGAUUUUUGAAAAUAGUCGUCGAAAACUGGGUAGCUGACCGAAAAAUUCACCGAAAAAUUCAUCGAAAAAUUCAAACUUGGUCGAAAAAUUCAAUCGAAAUCUGAAAAUUUUCCAAAAAUUUCCAGAAAAAAAAUUCACCAAAAUUCUAAAAAACAUUUGAAGUUGCUUCUGGCCCUUUUGAAUGUUUUUUUUUUUCUUCUCGCUCUUUUUUUCAGUCAGUCUCUGCGUUUCUGUUCUAGUCUUUGUGAUUCGUAGAUCUAUUUAUAUGGAUUGAUCAGAAGAGUUUUUGAUCAAUCCCAACUUUUCCUUGAAUUGGGAUUCAAUCCUUGAAUCCAAUAUGGACUCUGAUUGAAUCCCAAAUCCACGGUAGAAUUUCAAAUUUCCAUCCCAAUCCCAGUCGAAUAAGAAGAAAAAGAAAAUCAAAUCAAAUAAAAAAAUGUUAAUAGAUAAUUAAAAGAAAAUAAUUAGAUAAAUAAAAAUGUUAAUAGAUAUAUAAAUAGAUAAGUAAUAAUAAAAAAUAUAUAUUAAUAAAUAGUAAUAAUAAAUAAAUACAAAAAAUACAAAAUACAGAAUAAAAAAUAAAAUAAAACAAAUUGAAAUGGGCUGACCCAUUUGGACCAGGCCCAAUUGAUUCGAGCUUGGACCAAAUUGGGUGUCUAUAAAAUUCUUUAUUAGUUUGGUUAAAUUCAUAAUUGAAAUUUUCUAAACCAAUGAAAUAAAAAAUUCAUAAUUUAAAACUCACAAUCUUUAAAUUUUAUUUGAAAUGUACAUAAAAAAGUAAAAUAAAUGAAUAAAUAUAUAAAUAAACAAAAUGUAAAAAUUACCCUAAUGGAUGGAGACAUGCCUAGGUUGAAGUAUCUCUUGAUCUAUGGUAACAGAUAAUCACCAAAGAGCUCUACCACCAAUUUGAACCUAAGAGCUAGGGUAUAGAUUGCUACUCAUCCAUUUCUUGGUGGGUUUUCCUUUUUUUCUCCCCCUUUUUUUUUGUAUUUUCUUGAUUGGUGUUUAUAUUACGCCUUUUGCUAAGAGUUUUAACGAUUUGCAUUGAAUGAAAAGGAUUGCAAAUCAGAUUAUACUCUGAACUGAUUUUUUCUUGAUUCUCUUUAAAAUUUAUUUAAUUAAUUUCUAGAAUUGUCUCAAUUUUCCUUGAUUUUUAGAGUCCCUUAAAACUUCCCAAACUAAAUUUGACUUUGAUUCCUUGAUUUGCUUUCUUUUCAACCUUCCUUUAAUAUUUGAAGAGAUCGUGUUUUAGUUUUAAUUGUCGAGAUCAUCCUUGAUUAGUGCUCAAAUUACUCCAUAAAUUUUAUUGACAUGAUUUAUGAUGAAAAUUUAAAAUAAAAUAAAUAAAAAGAGUAAAACAUAUAAAUAAAUAAGAUAUAAAAAGAUAUAAAAAGAAAUGAAGGAAAUUGGACAAUUGGGCUUAGUUUGAGCCCCGAACUAAAUAGGGUGUCUAUAGUUAGCCCUCUUUGCAUAGUUUUUGUAAAAUAGAAAUUAUGCAAAGAUAUAGAUAUCUAUUACGUUCAAGCCCAAAUUAUUCAAUUAUUUUCUUUUUUUUAAAGGCUCUUAAAAAUGAAGGCACACAACUUUUUAAAAAAUUAAGGACGACACCCAAAGGUUUUGAUAAUCAUGCCCAAAGGUCUUAUAGAUCAUGUCCAAAGAGCUUGAAAAUUAAGCCCGAACGUCUUACAAAAUCAUUCAUUAAAAAAUGCUCAUUUAAAUAAAGGCUACACAACUAUUAAAAAAGUACCUAAAAGUUUUAAAAGAUCAUACCCAAAGGUCUUAGAGAUUAUGCUCGGAGUUCUUACAAAUCUUGACUCUAAAAUAAAUUCAACUCGAAAGACUUACAAAUCUUCCCUAAAGGACUUAGAGAUUAUGCUCGGAAGUCUUACAAAUCUCGAUCUUAAAAUAAAUUCAACUCGCAAGACUUACGAAUCUUGCCCAAAUGACUCAGAGAUUACACUUAGAAGUGUUACAAAUCUUGACUUUAAAAUAAAUUCAGCUCAAAAAACUUAUGAAUCUUGUCCAAUGACAUAUAAAUUAUAAUCAGAGGUCUUAUAAAUCUCGACUCUAAAAUAAAUUCAAGUCAGAAGACUUACGAAUCUUACUUGAAGGACUUGGAGAUUAUGUGUAGAGGUUUUACAAAUCUUGGAGAUUAUGCCUAGAGGUCUUACAAAUCUUAACUCUAAAAUAGAUUCAGCUAUGGAGAUUUAUGAAUAUUGCCUAAAAAACUUCGAGAUUACACCCGAAGGUUUGAUAAAUCUCAACUCUAAAAUAAAUUCAGCUUGAAAGACUUAUGAAUCUUACCUAGAGGUCUUACAAAUUAAACUUCAAAAAAGCUUAUUUAAAAUGAAUGUUCAACCACUUUAAAGAGAAAAAAGAUAUUUGGAGGUUUUAAAAAUCAUGCUCGGAAGUCUUAUAGAUAUUGCUUGAAGGACUUUUAAAAUAGUUUAAUAGUUUUGAAGGUGUUGCCAAAGGGUUCAUAAAAAAAAUUAUCCGAAGGUUUUUUAAGACUAAUACUUAAAAAUUUUAACAAAUUUACCUUGAGGUAAAAUCUUGUUUGAUCAAAGUUUCGAUUUUUAUCAAAAAUUUAAGUCAACAUCUCUUUCCCCUAAAAAAUAUAAAUGCACAUAUAAAAUAGAUGUGAUGUAUACUAUGUAAAAAAUGCAUGAAGUGCAAUGAAUUAAAUGCAUGAAUUUUAUACCAAAUGUCCUUAAUUGUGGUAAUAGGUUUAUCAAAACUUUUUCUUCCUUCCAUCUUUCCAUAACAUAUCCUCUGAAUUACUUGACAAGUUCUUUCAUUCCCUAAAGUAGACAUUCUCAACAUUUUCAUUCUUGAAAACUAUUCUUCUCUUCUAGUGAGUUGUUUUAAUUUCGAUCCCUUGCAUUUGGUAUUUUUUUGUCCCAAAAAGGUCUUUUAUAGCAUUCACUUGUCUCCCACCCUAAGCAUUAAGAUCCACUAUAUUUUGAACAUUUUUCAAAACUUCCCAUGAAUAGCAAUAGAAAUUGCCCCAGAUAUCUCUCUUCUACAUGUGAUCAAAUCUUUUAAAAAUUGAUGAUUACUACUUAGGAUAAGGAUGAUGAAUCAUAAUUUUGGUCUUCCAAAAGGAUGUAAUGGUUUGGCACCCCUUUCAGUUCUUGAUAUAUGGUAUUUUAAUAAAUAUCAAGAACAACUAUGUUAGGUUCAAAUUUUCAAGUUUGAAAAAAGAACAAGGCCUAAAUUCUAGAAGGAAUCUUCAUAUUGAGAUCAAUCUUUUUGGGCCUUUAAAGAAAAGUCUUCUUGGUGCUACAUGAAAAGUCAUGAGUUGCUUUCAGAGUUUCAAUCUUGCUUUAGGCUGCCCUUUCAAGUUUUCACCCUGAAACUUCAUUAUUUUCUCUUUUUUUUUAUGAUAUUCCAUCAUGCAUUUGAGCAUUCAAAAUUUAUCAAAAAGUGAUGGUGAUUUCCUAAAGAAAAACUCAUUAAUUUAGAUAUCCAUACUUGAUCAAAAUAGACUUUUUAAAGGACGUAAUGUGGGCUGAGGUUUAAGGUUUUAAAAAAAGCAUAAAUAGGCCCAAAGAAUGUAUUUAUAGGUGAUCAAACCAAAUAUCAUUUAUUUUUUAGAAACAUAUUUCCUUUUUUCAAAGAUGCAUUUUCUCUUUUCUCUCUUUUUUUCUUCUUUUCUUUUCUUCUCUUUUUUUUUUCUUUUGCAUGAGCUUAAAAUUUUUUAAACUCAUCUUAUUUCAAGCUUGCUUCUUAACAUAAGGCAUUAUUUGCUAACCCUCAGCACAAGAUUAGAUGCCAUCUUGAUGAGAUCCUUUUUCUCUUAAACUUGUCCCCAAAAUUUAAAGGUUGAUCCCUAGUUAAGGUUCAUUCGAAAGAAUAAUCAAAGGUUUAAAAAAGGUAGCAAAUGGAUUUUUUUUCUUUUAUGAAGGGAAUUUAAAAGAUAACCAUUUUUCAUUUCAAGUAUGGAUACCUAUUGAAAAGCAGUCCUUAAGAGACAACUUGUUUCUGAUUGAUUUUAGGUUCAUUUGAAUGCCCCACAAGCAUGAUUUCAUAAUCAACUCUCUUUUCUUUUUUUUUUUUUUUGUAAUUCAUGCAUUUUAUUAAUUUAUUCCAAGAAAAAGUAAAUCUCCAAAUAGUUUGGUAGGACUUACUUUGAAGCAAUCCUCUAAUAGUUUAAAGGAUAAAAUUUCUUUAUUUAUUUGAAAAGACCUUUUUUUUUAUUGAAAAGAUUUUUUAAUUAUUUUUUAUUAUUUUGAAAAUUUUAUUUUCCAAAAUUUUUUUGUUUGAAAAGAUUUUUUUAAGAAUUACUUUUUUUUCUUUUUUUACUUUUAGAAAUAAAAAUGGAAAAAAUAACAUUUUUUUUAAAAAAUAAAAAAUGGGUUAAAAAUAAAAUAAAAUAAAAUAAAAUUAGAAAAUAAAAAAAAAUAGAAAAGAAAAAACCUGCGAUCAGGUCGGGUCAGUACCAAGGUCAAAACGCGGGUCAAUGAGUCACGUGCGGAUCCUUGGCUAUAUAAAAUGGUGUCGUGUUAGAAGAGUAUAAAAGCCACACCACUCAGCUUUUCUUCAGAACUAUUUGAUUAAGCUUUUCUUUCUAAAAUGUUUAUUCUUUUGUCUUCUCUCUAAUUGAUUUCCAAAAAUUGACGAAUAAAUCUCAAAAGCUGAUAGGGAAUUUCCAAGAACCCAACAAAUUAUCUAGAAAGCUAAACUCAAAAGUUCCUGGAAUGCAAAACCCUACAGAAAUUCAAACCCAAAAACACCAAGUCCCAAUCCUAGAAAAUCUAAACAAAUCAAAUCCAAGACCUAAAAUCUCUUGGUUGCUAAAAAAAUUUCUCUUUUUUUUUCUCUAAAAUUUCUGCAUAAUCUUUUUUUUUUUCUCCUUUCCCUUGCUUUGAUCACAGGUUUAUAUAAAGGUUCAUGCUCAAUCAAUUCUCCUUAAAUCCAUGAUUUUGUUUGAUUUCCGUUUUAAUGAGAAUUGAUUUUGAAAUCAAAUCCCAAAAUUCUCUCCCUAUCAUUUUAAUGUAAAUUGAUUAUGAAAUUAAAUCCCAACAAUCUCUCCACAUCAAAUGCCAAUUGAUUUUGGAAUUAAAUUCCAAAAAUCUCUCAAGUAUGGUUAAACUCCGAAAAAAUAUUCCCAGAUAAAAUGGGGUGUCUACAAAUGAUCAAAGUUCAAAUUUUGACAAUUUUAAAUAUGAAUUCUUUAUAUCAUCUUACAUUAUACAUGCACAUGUAAUAAUACAUACAAAGCAAGUAAUAAAAAGCUAAAAACUAUCUUAUAAAAUGUGGAAAUUAUAGUGGGGAAUUGGGGGUUAGAUAAUAGGAAGCCUUAAAAAAAAAUGAAUUAUUACCAAAUUACAGUAGCAUCAUCUCAAUAUAAUUAUUUUGUAAGAAACCUUUAUGAGGUAAGAGAGGGUCUAAAUUUAUAAUUGAAAAAUCAAUUAGCUAAUAGUAGGAUAGAAAAAUAAUUUAAAAGAUUACAAUUAGUAAUUUCAUAAUCAAAUAAAUGAUUUUUUAAAAAAUUAAUGUAAAACUAUGUUUUUUAAACAACGCAAUGCAUAAAUGACAUCACAAAUUAAUCCUUCAUAUAUGUCUUGCAAACAUUUUAAUAAAAUUACAAAAAAAAAAUUUAAGCAUUUCCAAAAAUAAAAUCCAGAUAUAUAUCAUAUUGCUAAACAUGCUAUUUCAACUUUUGAUAAUUGAAGUUACCAUCAUAAAUGAAAUCCCACUUGAAAUCCUGCCACUAAUUAACUCACUUUGAUAUUUUAAUUCUUAUCAGUGUGUAACUAUUUUUUACCUGCUGAGACCAGCAUUGGUAUAUACUUCAAUCUUUUUGUCAAACAUCUUCAAGUUUAUCAAAACCAUUUUCUUCUAUGCUUACAUAUGCGAGUGCAAACACAUUUGCGUUUGUGUACAAAUAAAAGGAAUUAAGCAUUUAAAGUAGAUUCAUAUAUACACCAUCUGCUUCCUCCCAAAUAUGUUUGCUUUCAAGUUUCCUCAAACCGUUUGUCAUAUUUUUAGGUAUUAAAAAUAUUAACAUAUAAUUUAUAAUAGUGCGAUCAACGUGGUCAUGGUAUUUGAUACACAUAAUAUAACUUGUAAGCAUACAAAAUUACACGCAGAUUCGCAUAAAACAGGGGGUUUUAUUUUAUUUUAAUUUUAUCAUGUUUUUCAGAUAACAUGAAAGAAAAAGACCCAAAGAUAUAAAUUUAUUUUUCAUCAGUCAUAAGCACCCCCCCAUACUUAGGCUGAAAGUUGAUCCAUCAGCACUUAAACGGAACCGCUGAAACCUUUAUUGUAAGCAUAUUCAAUAAGGGAAUCCAACUCAUCAUUGGUGCAGUCGAUCAAAUUGUCCUUAUUUUUAUCAGCAACGUCCAUGGCCUCUUCAACUUGCUUGUUUGGCGUGAGUGCACCUAGAUGUUCAAAAGCAUCCUUGAGCUGGUCCCUGGUGAUGCUGCCCUGCUUGGAGUAAGAUCGAAACACUUGUUCCAAUUUAUUUUUCUGAUCCUUGUUAUCCUUUGUGGCUUGCAUUGUGGAUUUUGAGGUGUGUGACCGGGUGAUAUUAGAGAGAAGGCUUGCCUAGCUUGGUUUGGUUUUCUUUUCCAAUGCAAUUUGUUUAUAUAGACCCAAAACUCUGAAUACGAUUCUGUUGAAGUGUUGGGGAAUAAAACAUUUUUUGGUGGUGGGUUUUAAAAAUUGAUUUCCAUCUUUUUUAUCAAUAAAAUUAAUAAAUCAAUCAAUAAAUUUUAUAAUGAAUACUUAAAAAAAUAUUCCAAGAGGAUUGGUACGAAUAAAAAUAUUAACGUUAAUUUCUUCUUUUCUUCUGGCUUCAAAUUAACCACAGAUUGGAAAAAGCUAAAUAGCAGCCUCCACUAUCUUGUGUCCAUUUUCUAUUGUUUCAUUUGUUUUAGCCCUCAAUUUGCAGUUUUUAGGUUUUUCUUUUUUGGUUCCCUGAUUAAAUGAUGCAUUUUGGUCCAUUUGGUUUUAAUGAAUUUUCAGAAUUUGGUAGAUCUCGUGAAAGGAGUUCUAGGAAGUACUUUGAUGAGCAUGCUUGUAAAUUGUGAUAAUUAUUCUGUAUGAAUGUUAAGUUAUAAAUUAUAUUUUAAAUUAGAUAAUUUUGUAAAAAAAUUAUAUUGAUGGAAGCGUGUACAUGGUAUUCAGAUUUUAUCUUUUCAUUUCUUCAUUUUUUUAUAAAGCUUUAUUUUUAAAAAGUUCCUAUUAAAAAUUUUUACAAGAAUAAAUCAUCAUUAGUAAUAUUGCAUGACAAUUCAAUUUUUUUUUCCUUUUUAUUUGUUUUGAUUUUGAUUUUUUCUUUUUUACUUUUUUUCUACUUUAUUUUUUAUUAGAUCAAUUGUUUCAGUGAAAAAAACUUAUCGGAUGUGCCCACAUGGCAUCCUAUUUUAUUUUUUGCCUUUCAUCUUUUUUUAAUUAGAUAAAUAAUACAAUAAAAAAAUCAAUAUAUAAAUUUUAUAAGAUAAAAAUCAAUUGAAGUAUAGACAACAAAAUAUCUUGUAUCCGAUAUGUUUCGAUUCCUAUGGAUCAAUCGUUGUGCUUUUUCUUUUUUUAAUUUAGGAUUGGAAACCUUAAAAAAUAUGAAUUAUUACCAAAUUACAAUAGCAUCAUCUACUAAAAUAAUUUUGUAAGAAACCUUUAUGAAGUAAGAAACGGAAAACUUAUAAUUGAAAAAUGAAUUAAUUAAUAGUAGGAUAGAAAAAUAAUUUAAAAGAUUACAAUUAGUAAUUUCAUAAUCAAAUAAAUGAAUUUUUUUAAAAUUAAUGUAAAACUAUGUUUUCUAAACCAAAGCAAUGCACAAAUGACACCACAAAUUGAUCCUUCAUAUAUGCCUUACAAACAUUUUAAUAAAAUUACAAAAAAAAAAAUUUAACUAUUUCCAAAAAUAAAAAUCUUGAUAUAUAUAAUUUUGCUAAAUAAGGUAUUUAAACUUUUGAUAAAUGAAAUUACCUUCAUAAAUGAAAUCUUACUUGAAAUCCUGCAACUAAUUAACUCAUUUUAAUAGUUUAAUUUUCAUUAAAGUGUAAUUUUCUUUUGCUUGCUAAGACCAACAUCAGUAUGUACUUUAACUUUUUUGUCAAAUAGCUACAGUUUUAUCAAAAUCAUUUUCGUCUAUACUUAUAUAUAUGCACGUACAAAAACAAAUCCAUAAAUGUGUGUAAAAUUAAAAAGAAUUAAGCAUUUAAUACGAUUCAUAUAUAUAUAUAUAUAUAUAUAUAUAUAUACACACACACAUCCACACACUAUCUGUAUUUCUCAUAAAUAGGUUAACUUUCAAGUUUUCUCGAAACCUUUUAUCAUGUUUUUAAGUAAUAAAAAUAUUAGGGUAUGGUUCAUAAUAGUACGAUUAACAUGUUCAUGGUAUUUGAUACACACAAUAUAACUUGCAAGCAUGUAAAAUUACACAGAUUUGAAUAAAAACAGGGGAUUUUAUUUUAUUUUAAUUUUAUCAUGUUUUUGGGAUAACAUGAAGGAAAAAGACCCAAAGCUAUAUAUUUAUUUUUCAUCAGUCAAAAGCAUCCCCCAUACUUAGGCUGAAAGUUGAUCCAUCAGCACUCAAACGGAACUGCUGAAGCCUUUAUUGUAAGCAUAUUCAAUAAGGGAAUCCAACUCAUCAUUGGUGCAGUCGAUCAAAUUGUCCUUAUUUUUAUCAGCAACGUCCAUGGCCUCUUCGACUUGCUUGUUUGGCGUGAGUGCACCUAGAUGUUGAAAAGCAUCCUUGAGCUGGUCCCUGGUGAGGCUGCCCUGCUUAGAGUAAGAUCGAAACACUUGUUCCAAUUUGUUUUUCUGAUCCUUGUUAUCCUUUGUGGCUUGCAUUGUGGAUUUUGAGGUUAUGACAGGGUGAUAUUAGAGAGAAGGCUUGCCUAGCUUGGUUUGGUUUUCUUUUUCCAACGCAAUUCGUUUAUAUAGACCCAAAACUUUGAACACGAUUCUGUUGAAGUGUAGGGGUAUAAAACAUUAUUUGGUGGUGGGUUUUAAAAAUUGAUUUCCGUCCUCUUUAUCAAUAAAAGUAUUAAAUCAAUCAAUAAAUUUUUGUAAUGAACACUUCAAAAAAAAUUCCAUGAGGAUUGGUACGAAUAAAAAUAUUAAUGUUAAUUUCUUCUUUUCUUCUGGCUUCAAAUUAACCACAGAUUGAAAAAUGCUAAAUAGCAGCCUCCACUAUCUUGUGUUUCGUUUAUUUUAGCCCUCAAUUUGCAGUUUAGUUUUAGUUUUUUUUUUUUUUUUUUUUUUUUUGUGGUUGCCUGAUUAAAUGAUACAUUUCGGUUUUAAUGAAUUUCCAGAAUUUGGUAGAUCUCGUGAAAGGAGUUCUAGAAAGCACUUUGAUGAGCAUGCUUGAAAUUUGUGAUAAUUUUUACUAAGAAUUUUUACAAGAAUAGAUCAUCAUUGCUAAUAUUGUGUGACAAUUUAACUUUUUUUUUGUUUUCAUUUUCGUUUUAUUUUUUUUUUAGUUUUUUUUCUCCCCUUUUUUUUUAUUAGAUCAAUUGUUUCAGCAAAAAAAAAAAAAAAAAACCCAAUGGAUAUGCCUAGAGUGUAACGAGCGACGUUGACCGAAUCGUGAGAAGCUUGACUUGAGGCUCGGAGCUCGACCACACCUCCGGGGCUCGAUACUAUGGCUCGAUUGUAUUGCGUGAUCGAAUCGAGCUAUUCGAGCUCGCUCGAUUAAGUUUCGAUUAAUAUGUUCAAAAAAAAGCUCGAUUCGUAUCUCGAUAAGAGUCUUGAUUUAAUUCAUGCUCGAAUUCAAAAAUCGAAUAUUUUAUUAAUUAAUAAUAAUAAAAAAUUUCUAAAUUAUAAGCUCGACUAAGCUCGCGAGCUACUCGAGUUAGAUAUAAGAAUACUCGAAUUCAGCUCGAUCGAUAAGUCGAGCUACUCGAGCUCGAGCUCGACUCGAUAAUAAUCGAACCGAAUUGAACCCGAAUAGCUUAUGAGUACUAAUGUAUCAUUUACACCCUUAGGUAUGCCCAUGUGCCAUCUUAUUUCAUUUUUUGCCUUUCAUUUUUUUUGUAAUUAGAUAAAUAUCACAAUAAAAAAAUCAGUAUAUAAAUUUUUUAAGAUAAAAAUCAAUUGACGUGUAGACAACAAAAUAUCUUGUAUCCUAUAUGUUUCGUUUCCUGUGAAUCCAAUCGGUGUGCUUUUUUUUUUUUUUAAAUUUAGGAUCAGAAGCCUUAAAAAAUAUGAAUUAUUACCCAAUUAUAAUAGCAUCAUCUACUAAAAUAAUUUUGUAAGAAACCUUUAUGAAGUAAGAAACGGAAAACUUAUAAUUGAAAAAUGAAUUAAUUAAUAGUAGGAUAAAAAAAAUUUAAAAGAUUACAAUUAGUAAUUUCAUAAUCAAAUAAAUGAUUUUUUUUAAAUUAUAUGUAUAAGUAUGUUUUCUAAACCAAAGCAAUGCACAAAUGACACCACAAAUUAAUCCUUUUAUAUAUGCCUUGCAAAUAUUUUAAUAAAAUUACAAAAAAAAUUUAACUAUUUCCAAAAAUAAAAUCUUGAUAUUUAUAAUUUUGCUAAACAAGUUAUUUAAACUUUUGAUAAUUAAAGUUAUCUUUAUAAAUGAAAUCCAACUUGAAAUCUUGCAACUAAUUAACCCAUUUUGAUAUUUCAAUUCUCAUCAAGAUAUAACUUUGUUUUGCUGCUGAGACCAACAACAAUAUGUACUUUAAUUUUUUUUGUCAAAUAGCCUCAAUUUUAUAAAAAUUAAUUUUGUCUAUACUUAUAUAUAUGCACGUGCAAAAACAUAUGCAUAAGUGUGUGUAAAAAUAAAAAGAAUUAAGCAUUUAAAUUAGAUUGAUAUAUAUAUAUAUAUAUAUAUAUAUAUAUACACUAUCUGCUUUCCUUCCGAAAAGGUUGACUUUCGAAUUUCUUCAAACCUUUUAUCAUGUUUUUAAGUAAUAACAAUAUUAGUGUAUAGUUUAUAAUAGUAUGAUCAACGUGUUCAUGAUAUUUGAUACACACAAUAUAACUUGCAAGUAUGUAAAACAACACAGAUUUAAAUAAAAAUAGGGGGUUUUAUUUUAUUUUAAUUUUACAUCCUUUCGAGACAACAUGAAAGAAAAAGACCCAAAGAUAUAUAUUUAUUUUUCGUCAGUCAUAAGCAUCCCCCAUACUUAGGCUGAAAGUUGAUCCAUCAGCACUCAAACGGAACCGCUGAAGCCUUUAUUGUAAGCAUAUUCAAUAAGGGAAUCCAACUCAUCAUUGGUGCAGUCGAUCAAAUUGUCCUAAUUUUUAUCAGCAACCUCCAUGGCCUCUUCAACUUGCUUGUUUAGCGUGAGUGCACCUAGUUGUUGAAAAGCCUCCUUGAGCUGAUCCCUGGUGAGGCUGCCCUGCUUAGAGUAAUAACGAAACACUUGUUCCAAUUUGUUUUUAUGAUCCUUGUUAUCCUUUGUGGCUUGCAUUGUGGAUUUCGAGGUUUAUGACUGGGUGAUAUUAGAGAGAAGGCUUGUCUAGCUUGGUUUGGUUUUCUUUUCCAAUGCAAUUUGUUUAUAUAGACCCAAAACUCGAUUUGUAUUCCGUUGAAGUGUAGGCGAAUAAAAUCCUUUUUGUGGUGGUUUUUAAAAUUUGAUUUCGAUUGAAAGGAAACGAUAUAAUUGUAUGACAAUUUCUUCAUUUGAAUUUUUUUUAAGUAUCCAUUUUAUUAAUAAAAUUAAUAUAUCAAUCAAUAAAUUUUUAUAAUGAAUACAAAUAAACAAAUAUUCGAAGAGGAUUGGUAUGAAUAAGAAUAUUAAUGUUGGCUUCAAAUUAACCACAGAUUGGAAAAUGCUAAGGGUAGUGAUAGCAGCCUCCCUUUCUUGUGUCCUAGUGAUGAUAGCAGCCUUCACUAUCUUUUAUGCAUUUUCUAUUGUUUCUUUUGAUUUUGCUGGUGAAAAGGCUAGACAACGAAGUCAGUAAGGAAUCUAAACUCUCACCCUGUCCAAAUUUGAGCUGUUUCUACACGAAAAAGUUUGAAGAGAAUCGUCUUGUUGCUCCUGGUUGGACAGAACUUGAUCAGACACAUUGAUUUUCUAAAAACUUAUAAUUUGAUGGAAGUGUCUUGUCUGUAGGAUAAUUUGAUAUUAUUGGAUAAAAAUAUUAUUAUAACAUAGAGAUUCAUGGACCCAUCGUAGACAUAAACUUUAAGAGUCGCUACUAUUUUUUUUUUAUUUAGGUGUAAUUGACCCUUUAACUGAAUCUGUCUUAUUUAAAGAGGAUUUCUAAGAUAGACUUAGGCAUUUUUAAAUAGUAGAUUCUAAAAUCCAUGAAAUCAGAUUUAAGAUUCAGAAGUCCAAUUAUGCAUGAAGAAGUUUAUAGCACCCUUACAGUGCUUAUCCAAAAAAUUGUAUUAAUUUGAUUUCAAAUUAUCUAAGCUUUGAAAUAUUCUUAUAAUUAUACCCAGUAAUUUAAUUAUUAGAAAUUGAUCCUAAAAUUACUCUAAUAGUUUAGUAGCAAUGUAAGAUAAUUUUCUCACCUUAAGAGUAUUCAUAGAGACUAAUGUCUCACUCUGAAGAGACUCCGUCAUUGAAUUUAUUAAUAUAUUUUAUUUAAAAAAUAAUUAGUAAAAUCCUCCAAUAGUUUGAUAAGAUUUUACUUUGGUGCAAGUCUCCCAAUAGUUUUUUGAGAUUUUAUAUGAAAAUCAUUUAUAAAAUUUUGUUUUGAUGUAGAAUUCUAAAUAGUUUGGUGAGAUUUUAUUUGAAAAUUAUUUAUAAAAUUUUACUUUGAGAAAAUUCAUUAAAUCUUCUAAUUUUGUAAGAAUUAAUUCAAGAUUUUUAUCCUCCAAUAAUUUGGUAAGAUUAAAAAUAUUUUAUUUUAUUUUAUUUUAAAAAUUCAUUAAGUCCUUCAAUAGUUUGAUAAGACUUAAUUUAAGAUUUAAAUAUUUCAAUAGUUUGGUAGGAUUGAAAAUUUAUUAUUAAAAAAUUACAUUAUGAAAUUCUCUAUUAAUUUGGUAAAAUUCAUAAUUGAAAAUUUCUAAACCAAUGAAAUAAAAAAUUCAUAAUUUAAAACUCACAAUCUUUAAAUUUUAUUUUAAACGUACAUAAAAAAGUAAAAUAAAUGAAUAAAUAUAUAAAUAAACAAAAUGUGAAAAUUACCCUAAUGGAUGGAGACAUGCCUAGGUUGAAGUAUCUCUUGAUCUGUGGUGACAGAUAAUCACCAAAGAGCUCUGCCACUAAUUCUAACCUAAGAGCUAGGGUAUAGAUUGCUACUCAUCCAUUUCUUGGUGGGUUUCCUUUUUUUUUCCCUUUUUUUUUGUAUGUUGUUGAUUGGUGUUUAUAUUGGGCCUUUUGCUAAGAGUUUUAGCGAUUUGCAUUGAAUGAAAAGGAUUGCAAAUCUGAUUAUACUCUGAACUUAUUUUUUCUUGAUUUUGUUUAAAAUUUAUUUAAUUAAUUUCUAAAAUUGUCUUGAUUUUCCUUGAUUUUCAGAGUCCCUCAAAACUUCCCAAACUAAAUUUGACUUUGAUUCCUUGAUUUGCUUUCUUUUCAACCUUCCUUUAAUAUUUGAAGAGAUCAUGUUUUAGUUUUAAUUGUUGAGAUCAUCCUUGAUUAGUGCUCAAAUUACUCCAUAAAUUUCAUUGACAUGAUUUAUGAUAAAAAUUUAAAACAAAAUAAAUAAAAAGAGUAAAACAUAUAAAUAAAUAAGACAAAAAAAGAUAUAAAAAGAAAUGAAGGAAAUUGGACAGUUGGGCUUGGUUUGAGCCCCGAACUAAAUAGGGUGUCUAUAGUUAGCUCUCUUUGCAUAGUUUUUGUAAAAUAGAAAUUAUGCAAAGAUAUAGAUAUCUAUUACGUUCAAGCCCAAAUUAUUCAAUUUUUUUUUUUUAAAGGCUCUUAAAAAUGAAGGUACACAACCUUUUAAAAAAUUAAGGAUGACACCCGAAGGUUUUGACAAUCAUGCCCAGAAGUCUUAUAGAUCAUGUCCAAAGAGCUUGAAAAUUAAGCACGGAGGUCUUACAAAAUCAUUCAUUAAAAAAUGCUCCUUUAAACAAAGGCUACACAACUAUUAAAAAAGUACCUAAAAUUUUUAAAAGAUCAUGUCCAAAGGUCUUAGAGAUUAUGCUCGGAGUUCUUACAAAUCUUGACUCUAAAAUAAAUUCAGCUCGAAAGACUUUCAAAUCUUUCCCAAAGGACUUAGAGAUUACGCUCGGAGGUCUUACAAAUUUCGAUCUUAAAAUAGAUUCAACUCGCAAGACUUACGAAUCUUGCCCAAAUGACUAAGAGAUUACACUUGAAAGUGUUACAAAUCUUGACUUUAAAAUAAAUUCAGCUCAGAAGACUUAUGAAUCUUGUCCAAAGACAUAGAGAUUAUACUCAGAGGUCUUAUAAAUCUCAACUCUAAAAUAGAUUCAAGUCAAAAGACUUGCAAAUCUUACUCGAAGGACUUGGAGAUUAUGUGCGGAGGUUUUACAAAUCUUGAAGAUUAUGCCUAGAGGUCUUACAAAUCUUAAUUCUAAAAUAGAUUUAGCUAAGAAGAUUUAUGAAUAUUGCCCAAAAAACUUGGAGAUUAUACCCGAAGGUCUAAUAAAUCUCAACUCUAAAAUAGAUUUAGCUUGAAAGACUUAUGAAGCUUACCCAGAGGUCUUACAAAUUAAACUUCAAAAAAGUUUAUUUAAAACAAAUGUUUAACCAUUUUAAAGAGAAAAAGGAUAUUUGGAGGUUUUAAAAAUCAUGCCCAGAGGUCUUAUAGAUAUUGCUUGAAAGACUUUUAAAAUAGUUUAAUAGUUUUGAAGAUGUUGCCAAAGGUUUUUUUAAAAAAAAUUAUCCGAAGGUUUUUUAAGAUUGAUACUUAAAAAUUUUAACAAAUUUACCCUGAGGUAAAAUCUUGUUUGAUCAAAGUUUCAUUUUUUAUCAAAAAUUUAAGUCAGCAUCUUUUCCUCUAAACAAUAUGAAUGCAACAUAUGAAAUAGAUGUGAUGUAUACUAUGUAAGAAAUGCAUGAAGUGCAAUGAAUUAAAUGCAUGAAUUUUAUACCAAAUGUCCUUAAUUAUGGUAAUAGGUUUCUCAAAACUUUUUCUUCCUUCCAUCUUUCCAUGACAUGUCCUCUGAAUUAGUUGACAAGUUCUUUCAUGCCCUAAAAUAGACAUUCUCAACAUUAUCAUUCUUGAAAGCUAUUCUUCUCCUCUAGUGAGUUGUUUUAAUUUCAAUCCCUUGCAUUUGGCAUUUUCUUGCUCCAAAAAGGUCUUUUAUAGCAUUCACAUAUCUCCCACCCUAAGCAUUAAGAUCCAUCAUAUUUUGAACAUUUUUCAAAACUUCCCAUGAAUAGCAACAAAAGUUACCCCAGAUAUCUCUUUUCUACAUGUGAUCAAAUCUCUUAAAAAUUGGUGAUUACUUCUUAGAAUAAGGAUGAUGAAUCAUAAUUUUGGUCUUCCAAAAGGAUGCAAUGGUUUGGCACCUCUUUCAAUUCUUGAUAUGUGGUAUUUUAAUAAAUAUCAAGAACAACUAUGUUAGGUUUAAAUUUUCAAGUUUGGAAAAAGAACAGGGCCUAAAUUUUAGAAAGAAUCUUCAUACUGAGAUCAAUCUUUUUGGGCCUUUAAAGAAAAGUCUCCUUGGUGCUACAUGAAAAGUUAUGAGUUGCUUUCAGAGUUUUAAUCUUGCUUUAGGCUGGCCUUUCGGGAUUUCACCCUAAAACUUCAUUCUUUUCUCUUUUUUUUUUUUUUUGAUAUUUCAUCAUGCAUUUGAGCAUUCAAAAUUUAUCAAAAAGUGAUGGUGAUUUCCUAAAGAAAAACUCCUUAAUUUAGAUAUUCAUACUUGAUCAAAAUAAACUUUUUAAAGGACGUAAUGUGGGCUAAGGUUUAAGGUUUUAAAAAAAGCAUAAAUAGGCCCAAAAAAAUGUAUUUACAGGUGAUCAAACAAAAGAUCAUUUCUUUUCCAGCAACAUCUUUCCUUGUUUCAAAGAUGCCUUUGCUCUUUUCUCUCUUUUUUUCUUCUUUUAUUUUCUUCUCUUUUCAUUUUUUUUCUUUUGCAUGAGCUUAAAAUUUUUUAAACUCAUCUUAUUUUAAGCUUUUCUAACAUGAGGCAUUAUUUCCUAACUCUAAGCACAAGAAUAGAUGCCAUCUUGAUGAAAUCCUUUUUCUCUUAAACUUGCCCCCAAAAUUUAAAUGUUGAUCCCUAGUUAAGGUUUGUUCGAAAGAAUAAUCAAAGGUUUAAAAAAGGUAGCAAAUGGAUAUUUUCUUCUUUUAUGAAGGGAAUUUAAAAGAUAACUAUUUUUCAUUUCAAGUAUGGAUACUUAUUGAAAAGCAGUCCUUAAGAGACAACUUGUUUUUGAUUGAUUUUAGGUUCAUUUGAAUGCCCCACAUACAUGAUUUCAUAAUCAACUCUCUUUUUUUUUUCUUUUUUUUGUAAUUCAUGCAUUUUGAUAAAAAAGCCAUCUGAAUGUUCAUCAAUCAAAAUGAUCAAAAAGAUUAUUUGGGGCAUCAAGUAAAUUUGGCUUUUGCCCCAAAGUGAGUACAAAUGAUCGCUUGGUAAAUGAUUCAAAAAAAAAAGAUGAAUGUAGGACAAGCUAAAAUACUGAAUAAAUUAAGAAAAUAUGGCUCAAGAAAUUUAAGUGGUGACAUGCUUGAAAGAAGCUUGACAUUUAUUGAAUCACCAAAAACUAAAAUGCUUAGGAGAGUGCCUUAAAAGAUUUUACAAAUUAAUCAACUAUCACAUUGUUCAUAGCCCAAAUGAAUAUUAAUAAAUUUUAAGUUGCAUCAUGGUCAAAUAAGGGAAGUUCUGAAACUUUCAUCCUUAGAAAUUCUCAAGGUUCUUAAUCUUCUAAAUGAAAAAAAUUAAAUGUUCAGGGGAAUGGCUCAAGAUACCUAUUCCUAAUAAUAAUUACCAAAUUUCUUGAGUUUUUCUUUCACAUGCAUUUGUAAGAAGCUAAACAAAUAAAACUCAUAAGAAACCAAUGACUUCAUGUCCAAGAAAUCAAUAUACAAGGAAUAAUCAACAUAUGAUAAAACAACAUUCCAUUGCUCAAAAAGCUCUUUGGUCAAGGUGACAUUAUGGAUAAGGCUUUCAAACUUUUCUUUCAACUGUUUGCAUUUCUCAGUCGAGUCCAAUUGCCCUCACGUUAUAAUCAUAUUUACCAUUUAUACCAUAACUCUUGGCUAAUGGAUUUGAAGUUGCUUUUAAAGGUAUUGAGGUGAGGUACUAGUACUUUAUUAGCAGUGACAAAAGAGCAAAAAUUAGAAUUAGGAUUUUCUCUAGAUUGUUUCUUGAUCUUAUUUGGCCAUUCAAUGGUUGAGUAGUAGAUUGGGGAUAAUGACUUAUGUGAUGAGCUAAUUGUUGGGUUAGUUGGGGAAAAUAAGGAUUCGAAAAGUUAUUUAUAGUAAAGGUGGUAAGGUUAGUACAUGAUGUGUGGGGUCAAGCUUCCAACCUGUUUCCCUUUAUACAUCAUGACAUGAACAUCUUCUCUUUUCAUUCUUGGUACACACACAUCCUUUAUGCCAAGGGCAUUAUCUUCUUUAAGAUUUUUACUUUUUAUGGCAUUCUCUAUUAUCUCUCCUGAUAUGACCAUGUUGGUAAAAUUCUUUAUUACAUUUUCAAUCAUCCUUUCAUAAUAUGGAGCUUUAAGAGUGCUGACAAACAUGAUUGUAGUUUUUUUUUCUGUUAAAGGAGGUUGAACCUAUACAGUAGCACCCUUUUCACCUUUGAGCAUAUUCUUUGAAACUCUCAACAUCUUUUUUCUCCAUACUUUGUAGAAACAAUCGAUCCGGGAGUAACUUUACAAUAUACUUGUAUUGAGUUAUAAAUUCCCUAGCCAAUUCUUUCCAUGAAGUGAUUCGAGUUCUAUCAAACUGAGCAUACCACUUAGUAGUAGAUCUCGUAAGAUUGUCUUAGAAUACAUGAUCACGAGUUUGUCAUCACAGGUAUGGGCAACCAUCUUUCUACAAUAUAUAGUGAUAUGGGUCAUCGGGCAUUUAGUAUCAUUAUAUUUUUCAAAAUUUGAUACCUUGAACUUGGGUAAAAUAAUUACAUCUGGCAUUAAGCAAAGCUCUAAUGCAUCCAUAGAUCCAUAAAAAUCUAUUUCUUUGAUAGCUUUUAACCUCUCUUAUAUGAGAUCCAUUUUUUUUAGCACCUGAAUCUUUUAUUGCUUCAAAUGAACUUUUCAUUAGUUUUACUAACUUUUCAGAACCAUCAAGGGUUGGAAUUAGUGAAGCAGUUGAAAGUAUUUUAGAACAAGAGUAUGCCCCUAAAGGUGGUACUUGUUGUGAUUGUACCCCUUGGGAUGCUUAUAUGUAAGUUUCUUCCACCUCUUUCUCUUUAUUUAAAUUUUUUAGCAUUUCCAUUAUCUAAGCAAAAUCUACUCUCAUUUUCUCAAUUUAGCUAUGUUGUUUUGGCUCCAUAAGUGGCAAGGAGACUACCUUAAUGAUCGGGCUCUUAAACCUUAUUACCACAAUUAAGAAUUAGGACAAUGUCUAUUGCGAAUUUAUGCAAGAAAAUAAAAAAUGUAUGCAUGAAUGAAUGGAUGCAUCAUUAAAUUCUAUCACAUAAUAAGAAAGAGAAGAAAAAGGAAAUCUUUAAUUAAAAAUUAUUUUGACAAAAACAUCCAAAAUCAUUCUUAGGAAAAAUCUUAAAAUCUAUUGCCUAAUCCUAUUUUUUAGCUUUAAGAUCUUGGUACUGCCAUGGAUAAGUUCUUCAGCCACUAUGAUUAUGCAAUACCCUUUUAACAAUCUUUGGCUCUCAUUUAUCCCCAAAACUCAACGCACUAUCUCUGAUUAAACUUUGCACCUUAUGCUUGAAAGCAAUGCAAUAUUUUAUUAAAUGGCCUGUAGUCCCAAAGUGAUAAUCACGUCGAGCUUCAACCUCAAACAAUUUAGGAUAAGGUGGUUUUAGUAGCUUUAAAGGAACUGGUGUGAUUUGAUAAUUUUCAAGGAAUACCGAGAAUAAUUUAAUGUAAGUCAUAAGGAUUGGAUCAAUGAUGGCUCUCUCUUUUUUUUUUACUUAAUGAUUUUUUGAGUUGAGUAGUUUUUUUACUCACAGGUGUAGAGUUUAGAGCAAAAUUAGGUGUAUAUGCCCAAAAGUUUAUUGGUGGGGAGCUCGACUGCUGAGCUAAAGGGUUUUGAAAAGCAUAAUUCAUAAUCGAAAAAGUAUAUGCGUAUGGGCUAAUCUGCGGAGGUUGAAUAGAAAUGGCUUUGUUUGGGAUGCCAAAAGAGAUUGUUUAGGAAUAAUCGGUUGGGGAUUUGGGUAUGAGCCAAUCUAUAGAACUGUGCAAGGUUAAAAGGCCUUAUCUCUUCUACUUAUUUUUUAACUUGGUCUUUUCUUAGGCCAUUGGACACAUUGACAUGACUUGGAUCAGUAUCAGUAUUAUAAGAGGCUUUUUAAUCUUAACAAAAUGGCUAUUUAAUGCACACACAAAUUGGAGUCGAUGAGAAUUCUUGAGAAUGGGUCACUUUAAGAUUUUCCACCAUUUCCACUAGCUUGGUAAGUUGCAUUUUUAUUUCUUGUAGGUCAUGUCCAAAUUCUUUUUGGUUGAGUUUCAAAGCUUGGAUCCAUGAUUUUAACAGAUCUCUCAUUUCUUUUGAAUUGUUAUCCCAAAUGAUUAAAAGAUUUCUAUUAUGCAAUGACAUGAUGAAUGAAUGAUGAUGAUGAUCUCUGAAUAAGUGAGAUGCAUGAAAUGAAUGAAAAUAGACAAACAAAGAAAUAAAUAAAUGUAAACUUAUUGAUGCUAACAUGAUUCAAGCAAAAAAAAAUAACAAACAAGAACAAAGUUAGCAACCAUUAUAAAGAAAGAAAAACCAAAAUAAUUUAAUGCAUAACUUAAAAGAUAUGUGACCUAACUUGGAGUAUUUAUACAAAAAAGGAAAGAUAUGGAUCUACCUAUGGGUAUUACAACUCACUAUAUGUGGUUUAGGAUUGAUUCUACAUGUUCCCAAAUUAUUUCUUACAUCAUUGUCUAUCACAGACUAGUAAAACACCCUAAUCUUUACCCAUUAUAGGUUACAAAUGGCAAGGGUUCAAUUGAAGUGGGAGUGUUUUGCUAGCCUAUGCCAAGAUAUGAAAUCUCACGAAGGCGUAGGUACUUUACUCCUCUUAAGGGACAGAACUCGAUUGUAGAAUUCACGUUAUUUUAUUUUAUUUAAAAAAAUAAUUAAGUCCGCCAAUAGUUUGGUAAGAUUUAAUUUAAGAUUUAAAUCCUCCAAUAGUUUGGUAAGAUUAAAAAUUUAUUAUUAAAAAAAUUAUAUUAUGAAAUUCUCCAAUAGUUUAGUAGAAUUCAUAAUUUAAAAUUUAUAAACCCAUGAAAUAAAAAAUUAAUAAUUUAAAACUCAUAGUCUUUAAAUUUUAUUUUAAACAUACAUAAAAAAAAUGAAAUAAACGAAUAAAUAUAUAAAAAAAAUAAAAUGUGAAAAUUACCUUAAUGGAUGGAGACACACCUAGGUGGAAGUAUCCUUUGAUUUGUAGUGACAAAUAAUCCCCAAUUUGAACCAAAGAGCUCUGCCACCAAUUUUAAUCAAAGAGCUUGGGUAUAGAUUGCUACUCAUCUAUUUCUUAGUGGGUUUCCCUUUUCUUUCUCUCUUUUAUUUUUUAUGUGUGGUUGAUUGGUGUUUAUAUAGGGCCUUUUACGAGGAAUUUUAGAGAUUUGCAUUGAAUGAAAAGGAUUACAGAUCUGAUUAAGCUCUAAAUUGAUUUUUUUCCUUAAUUCUCUUUAAAAUUCGUUUAAUUAGUUUUUGAAAUUAUCUCGAUUUUUCUUAAUUUUUAGAAUCCCUCAAAAUUUUUCAAAUUAAAUUUGACUUUGAUUCCUUGAUUUACUUUCUUUUCAACCUUUGUUUUAAUAUUUUAAAAGAUCAUGUUUUAGUCUUGAUUAUUGAGAUCUUCCUUGAUUAGUGCUCAAAUUACUCCACAAAUUUCAUUGACCUGAUUUAUGAUAAAAAUUUAAAACUAGAUAAGUAAAAGACUAAAACAUAAAAAAGAUAAAUAAAUAAAUAAAACAAAUAAGAUAUAAAAAGAAAAGUUGGAAAUUGGACAAUUAGUCUUUGUUUGACCCCCGAACUAAAUAGGGUGUUUACAAAUAUAUAUUUUAUACUUUUUUACUUUUUAAAUUAGAUAAUUUUGUAAAAAAUGAUAUUGAUGGAAAUGUCUACAUGGCAUCCAUAUUUAUUUUCUUUCAACCUUUCAUUUUUUUAUAAAUUUUUAUUUUAAAAAAAGUUAAUAAUAAAAAUUUUACAAGAACAGUUCAUCAUUGCUAAUUCGCGUGACAACUUAACUUUUUUUAUCCUUUUUUUCGUUUUGAUUUUUUUUACUUUACUUUUUUAGUUUUUUCUCCCUUUAUUUUUUAUAGGUCAGUUUUUUUAAACAAAAGAAAAAUUAACCAAUGAGCCCAUGUGGCAACCUAUUUCAUUUUUUACCUUUCUUCUAUUUUUUAAUUAGAUAAAUAACACAAUAAAUAAAAACAGUAAAUAAAUUUUUAAGAAAAAAGUCUAUUGAGGUAUUCACAAUAAAUUUUUCUUAAUUAGAUAAUUUUUGAGAAAAUAAUGUCAAUGUAGGUGUUCACAUAACAUCCUCACUUGUUUUUUUCUUUUAUAAUUUUAUAGUUUAAUUAGAUAAAUUUAUAAUAAAAUGAGACAGUUGAUAAAAAUAGCAAAACAAUCAGUAUUUAUCGAUUUCGAUACAUCUCGAUUUGAUAUGGGUGUUUUUAUAAAAAAUUGAUAUCAAAUCGAAUCAUGUUGGUUUUUAAGCUAAGGAGAAGUAAGAUGUGGAUUUAGGGUGCUUUGUCCUAAAUCAUCUCGUGGUAUACGUAAAAUUAUAUAUUUUAUUAUUAAUUUGGUUUUAUAUUUGCAUACAUUUAUUAUAUUAAUAAAAUUAUUAUUUGAUACUUUAAUUUAAUAAAUUAAUAUUUUAAACUCAAUAGGGGUGUCCAUGUGGCACCCUUAUUGAGCUUUUCUUUUUUGUUUUUGUUUUUCUCUUUUUUUUGUUUAUUUUGUUUUUCAAAUUUUUUUAUUCUUUUAUUAGAUAAAUUUAGUGAGAGAAAAAAAAAAGCCGAUUGAAAUAUCCACAUGACACUUCCAUUUAUUUUUUUAUCAUUUACUUUUUUAAUUAGAUAAUUUUAUUUAAAAAGUAACAUAAAAUUAUUUUUAAUUUAAUUUUAUUAAAAUUUAUAUCAAAAAUAAUAAUAAAAAAUGAACUAUGAAUUAUUUUAAUUAAUAAAAUAGUUAAACCUAUGCUACGAGCUCAUUUCUAGUAUUCAAGAAAAUAGUAAAGAAAAUUAUUUAAACCCCAUCUCUUAAUUUUAAUAUUAAUUGGAACACGCUAGUAGUUUAUUUACAGAGAUCAUUAGAAAUUAAUUACUUUCUUAGUCAACUACUAGGGUUUGAAACAAGUGCCAGAAAAUCGAUAGGCCUUAAAAUUUCAAUUCCUGGCAUUUUGAAUUCAAUGUUGUUGGAUUUCUUUAGGUAUGGGUUGAGCCCAAUGGCUCAUUAAUUAUGUUCUUAAUCAGGCCUAAAAUCUAUUUAACCACAAUUUAUGGUUCUUAAAACUUAUGUAAGUGUGCCUAUACAUUUAUAUUAUAAAAAUUAUCACAUUCACUUGUAAUAGUGGAGUUUUUGAAUUUUAUUAUCAAGAUUGUAAUAGUAGUGUGAGCAAUUGAUAUAAUAUUAAAUUUUAAUUUUAAUUAUGUCAUAAUUAUAGAUCCGUGGACUUACUGCUAGACAUGGAUUAAAGAAGUUACCACCAAUCUUUUUUUGUUAGGUGUGAUUGACCACCUGAUUGAAUUUGAUCUACAAGAUAGAUGUUAGGUUCGGGAGUCAAUUACGCUUAAGGAAAGUUGUAGCACUCCCACAGUACCUAUCCAAAUUAUAGUACCAGUUUGAUUUUGUAUCAUCCAAGCCUUGGUCAUUUUAUGAUUUUACCAAAUACUUUAGUAUUGAAAAUUAACCCUAAAAUUGUCCCAAUAGUUUUGUAGCAAUUCAAGAUAAUUCUCUCACAUCAUGAGUAUUCAUAAAAACUAGUGUCCCACUCUGAAAAGGCUCUUUCAUCAGAUUUAUUAAUUUAUUCCAGGAAAAAGUAAAUCUCCUAAUAGUUUGAUAGGACUUAGUUUGAAGCAAUCCUCCAAUAGUUUAAAGGAUAAAAAUUCUUUAUUUAUUUGAAAAGACCCUUUUUUUAUUGAAAAGAGUUUUUAAUUAUUUUUUAUUAUUUUGAAAAUUUUAUUUACAAAAAUUUUUUUGUUUGAAAAGAUUUUUUUUAGAAUUAUUUUUCUUUUUUUACUUUUAGAAAUAAAAAUGGAAGAAAUAACAUUUUUUUAAAAAAAUAAAAAAUGGGUUAAAAAUAAAAUAAAAUAAAAUUAGAAAAUAAAAAUAAAAUAGAAAAGAAAAAACCUGCGAUCAGGUCGGGUUGGUACCAAGGUCAGAACGUGGGUCAACGAGUCACGUGCGGAUCCUUGGCUAUCUAAAAUGGUGUCGUGUUGGAAGAGUAUAAAAGCCACACCACUCAACUUUUCUUCAGAACUAUUUGAUUAAGCCUUUCUUUCCAAAAUGUAUAUUCUUUUGUCUUCUCUCUAACUGAUUUUCAAAAAUUGACGAAUAAAUCUCAAAAGCUGAUAGGGAAUUUUCAGGAACCCAACAAAUUGUCUAGAAAUCUAAACUCAGAAGUCCUUGGAAUGCAAAACCCUAUAGAAAUUCAAACCCAAAAACACCAAAUCCCAAUCCUAGAAAAUCUAAACAAAUCAAAUCCAAGACCUAAAACCUCUUGGUUGCUAAAUAAAUUUCUCUUUUUUUUUUCUCUAAAAUUUUUUCAUAAUCUUUUUUUUUCUCCUUUCCCUUUCUUUGAUCACAGGUGUCAUAACGUCUAGAUCCGGGGAUCUAUCGCUAGACAUUGACUUUUAGGGAGUCGCCACCAAUCUUUUUUAUCUAGGUGCGAUUGGCCACCUAAAUAAUCUGUCCUUUCAGGGAACACCUAAGUUUAAGGGUCCCUAAAAGAAUAGGUUCAGGUCUACUAACCAGAACAGGGUUCGGGAGUUCUGUUACGUGUGAGGAAGGUUAUAGCACCCUCACAACGCCCAUCAAAAGAUGGUACCAGCUUAAAUUUGUGUUAUCCAAUGAGCCUUAAAAUUUUAUCCAGCAAUUAAUUAUUGGAAAUUAUUCUCAAUUGACUCUAAUACUUUUAGCAGAAAAUUGAGAAAAUCCCCUCACCUCAGGAGUAUGCCAGAAAACUAUUGUUUCACUUACAGAGGCUCCAUCGUCGGAUUAUUUAACAUUAAGGAAAAUUCAAAAAGAAGGAAAAAAAUGAUUGCUUUUUGUGCAGGGAAAAUUGAUACUUUCAACUUUUUCCCAAAAAUAUUUUUUUGAAACUUUGAUUUCCAAGGAAAAUUGAUACUUUCAACUUUUCCUCAAAAACCCUUUUUUUUGAAAAUUUAUUUCUAAGGAAAAUUGAUACUUUCAACUUUUCCUCAAAAACCCCUUUUUUGAAAAUUUAUUUUUUAAGGAAAAUUGAUACUUUCAACUUUUCCCCAAAAAUAUUUUUUUUUAAAUCUUUUUAUCUUCAAGGGUUAUUUAAAAGAUGCACAACAAAUCAAAAUUUCCUGUGAAAUAGUUUAAACUUACUUGGUAUCCAACAUGAGAACAAAUGAACAACUUCUUGCACCACCUUUGCUUACGAGAUGGUGAUGGAAUUAAGUGCAUCGAUUCUUGGCCCUUUUAAGACACUGAUACAUGUAUGAUGUUUCAACAAAGUCAACCAUCUCCUUCUCAACAGCAAACCUAGUCACUUCAACCACUAGGCGAGGCGUAACAUGGACAGUCUCCAGAAAACAAAGCUGUAUCCCCAAAUGGGCCAAGGCAUCCCAACAGGAAGUGAAGUUUUGUUGCCGUAUCUAAAUCCCUUAACAAAUGAAUCAACAUCCCCAAUACUGGCCAGGAAGAGAGCAACAAAGCAAUUACGAAUUUGCUCAACUUGUUCAAGUGUAUGCUGAUUCAGAUCAGAGAUUGAUAUCAUCAUUCCAGCAACAAAUGAACCCAGCUCAUCACCAAGCAACAAGCAAGCAAAAAUGCUAUGGAUGUCAACUGAUAGAACUCUUAAGUCAACGAUUUAGUCGUGGAUAGUACUCCCUGAAGGACACCAGAACUGCCACCUAGAACUGAAGUAAAGCAAACAGCAAACCCACAGCACAGUCCUCCACAUAACUGCAAAAAGCAUAUAGCGAAAUUGUUAUACCAAACGAACACGUGAAGAGAAAAUUUUGAAGAAAACCUCCAAGGACAGCAACUGUUCGAACAACACGAAGCUUUGUUGUUGAAAACUCCAAGCUUGAUGCGUGAAUCCUUGGCUGCAUAUUUUGGUGUAAUUGAUUGGGCUGCAGCUGAGUAGGCUGUAAUUGCAUCUGUGACAUCAGUUGCUGCCUUUCGCAUCAUCCAAUCUGUGCUCCCAAGGCGUUCAUGGAUGCUUUGCCAGAAGGAUUCCAAGCUCUGAGGUGCAAUUGCUCCCACCUGUGACAAACUCGCCACUACCGACGAAAGGGAAGCCUUAGCCAUAAAAUUCUGAUUAUUCAACAGCUUGCAGAUCCUUGGACACAGCUUCUGAAAAGCAGCCAAAGGAGGAUCAGUUGCACAUUCCACCAUCUAAGCCAUACAUGUUGCUCGACGUAACAAAGUGGAGUGCCUUUUCCAUCGUGUUCUCCAAAACAGGUUCUACAGGUGAUCUUCCACCUCCUCUUUCGAAGCAAAGCCUUCUUUCAUGGACUGUCGCCAUGGCUACUGAGUCCGAGACCGAGACAGCUACGAUUGGGCUCAGCUUGCGCCUGUGCCAGCUUUUGUUGCUCAACAGACCUGCUCAUGCGCUCAAGCAACUGAGCAGCCUUCCGCUUGCCCCUAUCUGUAUCAUUUUGUGCCAAGUCCACCAAUGGACUCGUCGCUCCUAGUUCCUGGGCCUCUGCUAAAUGUUGUUGGUCUCCAGCACAAAGGUGAACCAAAACUGCAGCUGUAUUCUCUCUAUUCCUGCUGCCCAGUCUUCUUUUCGGUUCUUCUUUUUUUUUUAUACCAGCAGCCUCACGUUCCCUUGCCUGCUACCAAGUUUUUCUCUCCCUGCAUCCUCUUAUUUAUUUAUAUUAUCGAGUAGGAUUUUUGGUUUGCUGAUCAGCCUCGUUUACAUUCGCUGCAGGUUAUGGUGGAUCCUGAUGCGCCCAGCCCAAGUGACCCAAACCUGAGGGAAUACUUGCCUUGGUGAGUUGCAUGUCACUCUGUCUUUCUCUCUCCGGCUCCUUCAUCUCCAUUCCUUUGCAUGCUGUGUGUGUCUCUAUCUGUUGCAUACUCAAACGGGUACGCAAAAAGAAACAGACAGUGAGGCGAACAGCCGAGCAAGCACUCCAAAUGCUGAGUUUUGGUACUUGCGGUUGUUUGCUUUGUUUCCUCAUCUUUCUCCCUGGGCAUUAGACACACUGAAUGGAGUUCGAGUGCUCCCAAAUGCUGGACUUCGCAGGGGUGCUUGUGGAACCAAAGGCAGGGUCAAGAAAGGGAAGGUUUCCCACAGAGGGGAAGCCUCGAAGGCUUGGUGUCGAUGGGGGCUUCCCCUUUUGUUUGGCUUCUGUUUUUUUCCUCCCCCUUCAGCUUGUAUAUUCACUGUUGAUAUAUAGACCCAUGCUGAUAGAGUUUCAAUUCAAUUCCAAUUAGUCAUCCAAGGCUAAAGAUUAGCCACUAAUCAUGCUUUCUGAUCAUCAUCCAACUUAAUCUCAAUUUUUCUUUUUUUCAAAAAAAAAAAAUCAGAUAAUAAAAAAAUGAUAAAUAUGAAAUAAAAAAAAUCUAAAAUAAAAUUGAAUAAAAAUCUCUGCAAUUGAACUUGGAUUAGUCUCAAUUGACAAAGAAUCCCGGACAAAAUGGGGUGUCUACAGCUGCCCCUCUUUGCACAUUUUUUGUGAAACAGAAAUUGUGCAAAGACGUAGACACCCAUUCAAGACUCAACUAAAUUUUUUUUCCCAUUUUUUUUCUUUUUUUUUUUUUAAAAAAAUCUUGAUCAAAGCUCCUCUAAACAGAGGUUCAAUGAUUUUGAAAAACAUAAACAAAGCUCCUCUAAAUAUAUGCAAAUUUUGUUAUUUUCUUGUUUUUUUUAUUUUUUUUAUUUUUUUUAUUUUUUUAUUUUUUAAAAUUUGAUCAAAGCUCCUCUAAGCAAAGGCUCAAUGACUUUGAGAAACAUAAACAAAGCUCCUCUAAAUAGAGGCAACUUUUUUUGUUUUUUUUUUUUUGCUUUUUUGCUUUUUUUGCCUUUUUUUUUUAAAAAAAUGAUCAAAGCUCCUCUAAGCAGAGGCUCAAUGACUUUGAGAAACAUAAACAAAGCUGCUCUAAACAGAGGCACCACGACUUUGGAAAGUAAAUUGCUCCUCUAAACAGAGGCACCACGACUUUGGAAAUGUAAAUUGCUCCUUAACAAUCAUGUCCAAAGGAGUUGAAAGUUGUGUUUGAGGGAAUUUCAGGAGAUUAUGCCCAAAGGUCUUAUAAAUCAACCAUGAUACCAAAAGACAUCCUAUUUCAAGGAUUAGGAACUUACCUGACAAGCUUUUUCUUUUUCAAAUUUUGCAAAAUAUCUUUAUAUAUGUCUUCUCCAUGUGGGAUGUUGGAGCACCCUUGCUUCUUGAAUUUAUACACUAUACUUUCCUGAAAGUAGUGUACGCUAUGCAAAUGCAUAUGAAUUUCAAUGCAUGCUAUGCAAAUGUUGGCCUAUUAAUUCCUGUUCAAUGUAUGGUACUUAAGUUUCUCAAGCUUUUCUUGGGCAUCAAGCCUUUUGAUUCUUCAGAUAUCCAAUUACACUGCUAUUCUAAGAUCAAACCAGUGUAGCUCUCAAUUAUCUUUUCCACUCACAUUCUUCCUUGUUCAGUUCCUCAAUACUUUGGAAUAAGCUUCAUCAAUCGAUCAUCACUUGACCAUCAUUCAAUGAAUUUCUCAGCACUAACAAGUUUCAAAACAAGUUUCAUCCACCAUCACUGGGUAAUUGUCUCAGCAUUAAUCAUUCCGAAACAAACUCUGUCUACUGAUUGUUCUCAUCAUUCAAUCAUAACUUACAAGUCAUAUCGACCAAUUCAUCCUUGUACUCAUCUCUUGGUUGUUUCACUUUUCAAGAUUUGCCCCAUUAUAUUCUUCAUUUGAUCACCUCAUAUAUCUUUUCAAAUCAUCUCCUUUAGGUUUCUAUCAUUUCUUCAUCAUCUUAGAUUUCUUUUCAAAUGAAUGUAAGAUUCUUUUAAGCACAUAUUCAUUCAUUCAUUAUCAUUUCAAAUCUUGACAAAUACAAUGCAAUCAAGCAUUUUCUCAAUUCAUUCUAGGGGUGAAACAAUAAGAGAACGCAAGGUGAAUUAUGGUAAAGAUAAUCAAUAAAGAUCUAUUUUGGUACAAAGCAAAUGAAAAAGGAAGUAAAUUAGAUACAUGUCAUUGGGAUGGAUGGUAUGUUCAAAUGAUGAAUAUUCAGACGAUUCUCAACAUUAAUCUAGGAUUCUUUUUCAAAAACUCAUUCCAUUUACUGUUGAAGUCAACUUGACCUUGGCGAACUUUGCCCCAGUCUUUGAGGGGUCUUCAAAUGUCUUUGAUCUUCCAUUCAUGUGAGCCAUUUGACCUGGAUCUCUUUCUAUCAAAAUCAACCCUUUCAGGUCUUCAAUUUGAAUCUCUUUUUUCAUUUUCUCAUUUUUUCAUUCAUUCUUUCUUCUUUUUUCUUUCUUUUUUUUCCUUUUUUUUUUUCAUCAUCUUUUUUUUUUCUCAUUUUUCAUCCAUUGUUGAUAUCUUUCAUACAUCCAACUUUAGAGCAUGAUUCCAUUGCUUCAUCAUGAGUAUACCUUCGCUCAACAUAUGAUAAUUCAAGUUGAGUAUUCACACUUGAUCUAAAUGAACUUUUCAAGGUUGUAAUGUAGGCCAAGGUGAAGGGUUAUAAAAAAAAUGGAUAUAAUAGGCUCAAAACAUGUAUUGAAAAGGUUCAAAACCAAAGGAUCAUUUGAUGCAGCUUGGCAUUUUGCCCCCAUAUUGUUUCACUAUUUUCUUUCUUCACACAAAAGAUUCUCAUUACUUUGCCCCAAGUCAUGUGUGGCACGUAUUUUUUCUUUUUCUUUUCUUUCUCUUUCCAUCUUUGAGACCUUUUGUGGUAUUUUUUUUCUUUUUUUUUUUUUUAAAUUACCCUCCAGUGUAGAGGGUGAUCCUUGGUUGGGGUCUUCAGAAAAAAAAAAUGAUAGGCUCAAAGGGGUAGCAAUAAAUAGUUUUUCAAAUGGUAAAAGAAAGAUGGCCAUUUUUCAUCUCAAUUGUGAAUACCUUUCUUGAACAUCAUCUAUUGAACAAAGCUCAUGAACUUGUAUAAAAGAUUGCACAUCUUCAAGACAUAUCUAUUUCUCCUCCAGUAACAGCUUACUUUUGCUCAAAUCAUCUUCUCAUAUUAAUGUGGAUGAGUUCUCAAAAUUAAAUCCCAGAAUUAUUGUUAUCAUUGUCUAAAUAUUCAUCAUCUGAAAUUUAAGAAUGGGAAUGUGAAGUUAUGAAAGGUAACAGGGCAUGGAGUAAUGGUCAAGUGACAGAGAAAAUGUAAUGAAAUACAUUAACUUGCCUUUAUUAAGAUGAUAACGAGUGAAAUCAUAUUGCAAAAAGAAAAUCUAACAAUCACUCGAAAAAGAAAUCCUAAAAUGACAAAGGAAACCUUUAACCAACCUUAUCUCCAUUCUUAAAAAUUAUCCCACUAUAUGAUCAGGUGAAGAAUCUCUAUUGACAUCUUGCCCCUCAAUCAUUCUGACUCUCUGGCCCUUUCUGUUCUUGACUUUCACUCAGUACGCUAACAUUAGGUGUUGUUGCUUUUCCCUGAUCAAAACUUAUCAUUCCAUCAUUGAUCAACCGUUGCACCUUCUGCUUUAAAGCAGUGCAAUUUUCAGUGGAAUGGCCAGUAAUUCCAUAAUGGUAGUCACAGCGGGCUGUAGGAUCAUACCACUUUGGAUAGGGUGGUUUAAGAGGUUCCACAUGGCUGGGGGCAAUCAAGUGGCUAUUAUAGAGUACUUGAUAUAACUCUGUAUAAGUUAUAGGGAUUGGAUCAAAUACAAGUUUUUCUCGAGUAGUCCGUUGUUCUCGUGAGCCACUUGCUGGGUUAGUAGGGCGAAUUUGGGUUCUUACAGGAGCUUGAAUGUUAAGGCGGUAAGUGGAUGAAUAAGAUGGUUGUGGAGCUAGCUGGUAUGGGUAGGAUGAGGCAUUAUUCACAGCAGGAUAGUAUGGAGAGUAACCUUGGGAUGGAUAGGGUUGAUAACCCCUGAAUUGUUGUCUAUCAAAGCUCACAGCUUGAGCUUCAGCUUCUUUCUUUUCUGAUGCCUUCUUGGUUUCUCCUCCUUUCAACUUACCAUUUUUUAUGACACUUUCAAUAAUUUCUCCAGAGAUCACCAUGUCGGCAAAAUUCUUUGUUGCAUUCCCUAUCAUCUUUUCAUAAUAAGGAGGCUUUAAAGUGCUGACAAAUAACACUGUAGUUUCUUUCUCGGUCAGAGAAGGUUGUACCUGAGAAGCAAUAUCCCUCCAUCGUUGGGCAUACUCUUUAAAGGAUUCAUUUGCCUUUUUCUCCAGAUUCUGCAAAGAUAAACGAUCUGGGGCCAAAUCGAUGAUAUGUCGAUAUUGACUGAUAAAGUCAUGUGCCAUAUCGCUCCAAGAGCGAAUGCGAGUUCUGUCUAGCUGAACAUACCAUCUGGUCGCAGAGCCAGUAAGACUAUCCUGGAAAACAUGUAUCAAGAGUUUUUCAUCAUGUGCAUGAGCUGCCAUCUUCCUGCAAUACAUGGUGAUGUGGGUUUUGGGGCACUUUGUACCGUCAUAUUUUUCAAAUUUCGGUACUUUAAACUUAUGGGGGAUAACCACAUCAGGGACUAGGCAGAGCCCAGCAGCAUCUACUGACCCGUAAAAGCUAAAUCCUUCCACAGCCCGUAGCCUCUGCUCUAGCAUGCUAAUUUUGGAGCUUUCCUGAACUUCCACUCUUAUCUUCUCUUUUUCCUUCUUCUUUAAGUCAUCUAGGUCAGGAAUUGGUUCUGUUGCUUUUUCAAUGAAGACAGGAUUUAUAUAGCUAUUAUACUGCCCUGGGUUGAAAGCUGAUGGCAUUCCAGGAUAUGUUGGAUAUGCGAAGUGUUGUGGCGGGACCUCUUGAGCAGACUGGGCCUGAGGUGGGCCAAAACUUGGAGGGUACAAAGGGUCAGCCACUUCUUGUAAUGGGGGAACUUGCUGGCUUGUAUUUUCUGCAACUCCUUUUCCUUUAUUCAUGUUAUUAAGAGCCUCCAGAAUCUUGCUUAGUUCACUUUCAAUCUUCUCCUGAGCUUUUUCUAGCUUUUCAAAUCUAUGAGAACUUUUUUCCUCCAUUUGCCUUGCUCUAGAUCUUGUGUUGUAUGGAUGAGCAGGGUUUUCGCUAGAUGGAGCUAUUCUGGGACCUUGAGUACCAUACUUAUGAUUAGGAAUGUUAUGCUGUGCCUUAUGUAUGAUGCUUUGAUACACAAAUGAAAUGUACAUUUUUCUGAAUGAAAUCUAGUAUGAAAUGAAUGCAAAUGAUUGUGUUAAAACAUGAUCAUGAAAAUAAUGCAGAUGCAUACAAUCAGACAAACAACAUAAUUAGUUCCAUGGAUGAAAUGAAAGUGAUGCUGAUGCAUAAUGUUACAUAUGAUAAUGAUGCACAAAGUUAAACAAUCAAAAUGAUUAGAUAAACACCCUUUUUGUGUCCUAAUUUCAGGGUAUAUCUAUCAUUGGGUAGAAAGGGCUCUAUCCUAAGUUUAGGCACUCUUAAGGUUCACUAUAUGUGGUUUAAGGUCAAAGUCUAAAGGUCCUCAAAUUGUUCCUUACAUCCUUGUCCAUCACAGACUAGUAAUGCAUCCUAAUCCUCACCCAUUACAGGUUACAAGCAGAAAAGGUUCAAUUUGAGUGGGAGUAUUUCGCUAGCCACUGCGGAGGCAUUAGACCUCACGAAAGCAAUAGGUACUUUACUCCCUCCUAGAGGGACGGAGCUCGGGUGUAGAGCUCAUGUUAUGCACAUGCACAUGAAUGACAUAAUUAACAAAGUAAAUAAACAUGAAUGAAUAAUAAUACAUAUAUACAAAAAGGUUCAAUUUUAUUAGGCGUUUGGAUAACACAGAUUAUUUGCUGGCCUGACUCUCAACUUCCCCAGUGGAGUUGCCAAGCUGUCAUAACGUCUAGAUCCGGGGAUCUAUCGCUAGACAUUGACUUUUAGGGAGUCGCCACCAAUCUUUUUUAUCUAGGUGCGAUUGGCCACCUAAAGAAUCUGUCCUUUCAGGGAACACCUAAGUUUAAGGGUCCCUAAAAGAAUAGGUUCAGGUCUACUAACCAGAACAGGGUUCGGGAGUUCGGUUACGUGUGAGGAAGGUUAUAGCACCCUCACAACGCCCAUCAAAAGAUGGUACCAGCUUAAAUUUGUGUUAUCCAAUGAGCCUUAAAAUUUUACCCAGUAAUUAAUUAUUGGAAAUUAUUCUCAAUUGACUCUAAUACUUUUAGCAGAAAAUUGAGAAAAUCCCCUCACCUCAGGAGUAUGCAAGAAAACUACUGUUUCACUUGCAGAGGCUCCAUCGUCGGAUUAUUUAACAUUAAGGAAAAUUCAAAAAGAAGAAAAAAAAUGAUUGCUUUUUGUGCAGGGAAAAUUGAUACUUUCAACUUUUCCCCAAAAAAUAUUUUUUUUUAGAAAUUUUAAUUUUCAAGGAAAAUUGAUACUUUCAACUUUUCCUCAAAAACCCCUUUUUUGAAAAUUUAUUUUUUAAGGAAAAUUGAUACUUUCAACUUUUUCCCAAAAAUAUUUUUUUUAAAAUCUUUUUAUCUUCAAGGGUUAUUUAAAAGAUGCUCAACAAAUCAAAAUUUCCUGUGAAACAGUUUAAACUUACUUGGUAUCCAACAUGAGAACAAAUGAACAACUUCUUGCACCACCUUUGCUUACGAGAUGGUGAUGGAAUUAAGUGCAUCGAUUCUUGGCCCUUUAAGACACUGAUACAUGUAUGAUGUUUCAACAAAGUCAACCAUCUCCUUCUCAACAGCAAACCUAGUCACUUCAACCACUAGGCAAGGCGUAACAUGGACAGUCUCCAGAAAACAAAGCUGUAUCCCCAAAUGGGCCAAGGCAUCCCAACAGGAAGUGAAGUUUUGUUGCCGUAUCUAAAUCCCUUAACAAAUGAAUCAACAUCCCCAAUACUGGCCAGGAAGAGAGCAACAAAGCAAUUGCGAAUUUGCUCAACUUGUUCAAGUGUAUGCUGAUUCAGAUCAAAGAUUGAUAUCAUCAUUCCAGCAACAAAUGAACCCAGCUCAUCACCAAGCAACAAGCAAGCAAAAAUGCUAUGGAUGUCAACUGAUAGAACUCCUUAGUCAACGAUUUAGUCGUGGAUAGUACUCCCUGAAGGACACCAGAACUGCCACCUAGAACUGAAGUAAAGCAACCAGCAAACCCACAGCACAGUCCUCCACAUAACUGCAAAAAGCAUAUAGCGAAAUUGUUAUACCAAACGAACACGUGAAGAGAAAAUUUUGAAGAAAACCUCCAAGGACAGCAACUGUUCGAACAACACGAAGCUUUGUUGUUGAAAACUCCAAGCUUGAUGCGUGAAUCCUUGGCUGCAUAUUUUGGUGUAAUUGAUUGGGCUGCAGCUGAGUAGGCUGUAAUUGCAUCUGUGACAUCAGUUGCUGCCUUUCGCAUCAUCCAAUCUGUGCUCCCAAGGCGUUCAUGGAUGCUUUGCCGCAAGGAUUCCAAGCUCUGAGGUGCAAUUGCUCCCACCUGUGACAAACUCGCCACUACCGACGAAAGGGAAGCCUUAGCCAUAAAAUUCUGAUUAUUCAACAGCUUGCAGAUCCUUGGACACAGCUUCUGAAAAGCAGCCAAAGGAGGAUCAGUUGCACAUUCCACCAUCUAAGCCAUACACGUUGCUCGACGUAACAAAGUGGAGUGCCUUUUCCAUCGUGUUCUCCAAAACAGGUUCUACAGGUGAUCUUCCACCUCCUCUUUCGAAGCAAAGCCUUCUUUCAUGGACUGUCGCCAUGGCUGCUGAGUCCGAGACCGAGACAGCUACGAUUGGGCUCAGCUUGCGCCUGUGCCAGCUUUUGUUGCUCAACAGACCUGCUCAUGCGCUCAAGCAACUGAGCAGCCUUCCGCUUGCCCCUAUCUGUAUCAUUUUGUGCCAAGUCCACCAAUGGACUCGUCGCUCCUAGUUCCUGGGCCUCUGCUAAAUGUUGUUGGUCUCCAGCACAAAGGUGAACCAAAACUGCAGCUGUAUUCUCUCUAUUCCUGCUGCCCAGUCUUCUAUUCGGUUCUUCCUUUUUUUUUUUAUACCAGCAGCCUCACGUUCCCUUGCCUGCUACCAAGUUUUUCUCUCCCUGCAUCCUCUUAUUUAUUCAUAUUAUCGAGUAGGAUUUUUGGUUUGCUGAUCAGUCUCGUUCACAUUCGCUGCAGGUUACGGUGGAUCCUGAUGCGCCCAGCCCAAGUGACCCAAACCUGAGGGAAUACUUGCCUUGGUGAGUUGCAUGUCACUCUGUCUUUCUCUCUCCGGCUCCUUCAUCUCCAUUCCUUUGCAUGCUGUGUGUGUCUCUAUCUGUUGCAUACUCAAACGGGUACGCAAAAAGAAGCAGACAGUGAGGCGAACAGCCUAGCAAGCACUCCAAAUGCUGAGUUUUGGUACUUGCGGUUGUUUGCUUUGUUUCCUCAUCUUUCUCCCUGGGCAUUAGACACACUGAAUGGAGUUCGAGUGCUCCCAAAUGCUGGACUUCCAGUUGAACCAAAGGCAGGGGUGCUUGUGGAACCAAAGGCAGGGUCAAGAAAGGGAAGGUUUCCCACAGAGGGGAAGCCUCGAAGGCUUGGUGUCGAUGGGGGCUUCCCCUUUUGUUUGGCUUCUGUUUUUUUCCUCCCCCUUCAGCUUGUAUAUUCACUGUUGAUAUAUAGACCCAUGCUGAUAGAGUUUCAAUUCAAUUCCAAUUAGUCAUCCAAGGCUAAAGAUUAGCCACUAAUCAUGCUUUCUGAUCAUCAUCCAACUUAAUCUCAAUCUUUCUUUUUUUCAAAAAAAAAAAAUCAGAUAAUAAAAAAAUGAUAAAUAUGAAAUAAAAAAAAUCUAAAAUAAAAUUGAAUAAAAAUCUCUGCAAUUGAACUUGGAUUAGUCUCAAUUGACAAAGAAUCCCGGACAAAAUGGGGUGUCUACAACAGGUUUAUAUAGAAGUUCAUGCUCAAUCAAUUCUCCUUAAAUCCAUGAUUUUGUUUGAUUUUCGUUUUAAUGAGAAUUGAUUUUGAAAUCAAAUCCCAAAAUUCUCUCCCUAUCAUUUUGAUGUGAAUUGAUUAUGGAAUUAAAUCCCGACAAUCUCUCUACAUCAAAUACCAAUUGAUUUUAGAAUUAAAUUCCAAAAAUCUCUCAACUACGAUUAAACUCUGAAAAAAAUAUUCCUAGACAAAACGGGGUGUCUACAAAUGAUCAAAGUUCAAAAUUUGACAAUUUUAAAUAUGAAUUCUUUGUAUCAUCUUACAUUAUACAUGCACAUGUAAUAAUACACACAAAGCAAGUAAUAAAAAGCUAAAAACUAUCUUAUAAAAUGUGGAAAUUAGAGUGGGGAAUUGGGGGUUAGAUAAUAGGAAGCCUUAAAAAAUAUGAAUUAUUACCAAAUUACAGUAGCAUCAUCUUAAUAAAAUAAUUUUGUAAGAAACCUUUAUGAAGUAAGAGAGGGUCUAAAUUUAUAAUUGAAAAAUGAAUUAGCUAAUAAUAGGAUAGACAAAUAAUUUAAAAGAUUAAAAUUAGUAAUUUCAUAAUCAAAUAAAUGAUUUUUUAAAAAAUUAAUGUAAAACUAUGUUUUUUAAACCAACACAAUGCAUAAAUGACAUCACAAAUUAAUCUUCAUAUAUGUCUUGCAAACAUUUUAAUAAAAUUACAAAAAACAAUUUUAAGUAUUUCCAAAAGUAAAAUCCAGAUAUAUAUCAUAUUGCUAAACAUGCUAUUUCAACUUUUGAUAAUUGAAGUUACCUUCAUAAAUGAAAUCUCACUUGAAAUCCUGCCACUAAUUAACUCACUUUGAUAUUUUAAUUCUUAUCAGUGUGUAACUAUUUUUUACCUGCUGAGACCAGCAUCGGUAUAUACUUCAAUCUUUCUGUCAAACAUCUUCAAUUUUAUCAAAACCAUUUUCUUCUAUGCUUACAUAUGCGAGUGCAAACACAUUUGCGUGUGUGUAAAAAUAAAAGGAAUUAAGCGUUUAAAGUAGAUUCAUAUAUACACUAUCUGCUUUCCUCCCAAAUAUGUUUGCUUUCAAGUUUCCUCAAACCGUUUGUCAUAUUUUUAGGUAUUAAAAAUAUUAACAUAUAAUUUAUAAUAGUGCGAUCAACGUGGUCAUGGUAUUUGAUACACAUAAUAUAACUUGUAAGCAUACAAAAUUACACACAGAUUCGCAUAAAACAGGGGGUUUUAUUUUAUUUUAAUUUUAUCAUGUUUUUGAGAAAACAUGAAAGAAAAAGACCCAAAGAUAUAUAUUUAUUUUUCAUCAGUCAUAAGCACCCCCCAUACUUAGGCUGAAAGUUGAUCCAUCAGCACUUAAACGGAACCGCUGAAACCUUUAUUGUAAACAUAUUCAAUAAGGGAAUCCAACUCAUCAUUGGUGCAGUCGAUCAAAUUGUCCUUAUUUUUAUCAGCAACGUCCAUGGCCUCUUCGACUUGCUUGUUUGGCGUGAGUGCACCUAGAUGUUGAAAAGCAUCCUUGAGCUGGUCCCUGGUGAGGCUGCCCUGCUUAGAGUAAGAUCGAAACACUUGUUCCAAUUUGUUUUUCUGAUCCUUGUUAUCCUUUGUGGCUUGCAUUGUGGAUUUUGAGGUUUGUGACCGGGUGAUAUUAGAGAGAAGGCUUGCC